CAACCCAAUAUUUCUACAAACAACGGUAAUCAUUUCUCAAUGCAUAAGUAAUAGUUUCAUUGACAAAUAACUUAUACUAAAAAUAAAAAUUCAUUUUGAAACUUGCCUUAGUUUUAUCAUGUAAGAACACACCAGCAUGUAGUCGAUCAAACAUCUUUUCCUUGAAAGAUCUAUCAACCGGUGAGUCUGCAUCCCUUAAUAUGUGCUCAAAGUUGUGAGGAAAACUUAGUUGUGCUGAUUGAGUCUCAUAUUUGGCUUUUACAGCUGGGCCCUUUUGUACCACCUUUCUGGAGGGUUCUAUGUUUUGUUGUGGAGACAGCAACAAGUUUUCCCUUGUGGGAGAUAAUCGUAGUUCUUCCUUAUUUUUGGUUGGUUCAUUUGGUUGGUGAUGCUUUUGUUGUGGCUGUGACUGUGAAUGAUGAUGUGUUUGAGGAUGUUGGUGCUGCUGCUCUAGCUCUGAUAGAGAAAGGUGAUGCUUUUGUUGUGGCUGUGACUGUGAAUGAUGAUGUGUUUGAGGAUGUUGGUGCUGCUGCUCUAGCUCUGAUAGAGAAGCCCCCAUUUCAGUUGGUAUGCUAUAUGUUUUUCAUUCGUGCUUGCUUUUAUUUAUAUAUAAAAUUAGAUACUGUUAUUUUAGAAAGUAAUGUAUUCUCUGAUUAGGAACAUUUGCCUCAGACCGUGAGUUGAUGAUCCUUUUGGAAUAUUACAUAUUGUGAGAAUUUUUUUUACUCUGUAGAAAAUUCUCAAGGUGGUGGUUUAUUUAUCAUAAUGACAUAGGAAAUGUAUUUGUUAAAAAACACCAAAAAUAAGUAUGGGUGAUAUUCAUUUUAUCUGAAGUCUAAUUAGAGUAUUAUUAAACCUGCAUUUAUAUCCAUUAAAUAGUGGGUAUUUAAAUAUCCAUUUAUUUUAUCAGCAGAUAUUCAUUAAGUUACCCGCCCCGUAUUCGUGAUAGAUUUUAUUUGGCGCCACCAACGGAUACACAUUUUUUUUGCCAUCCCUAAAUUUUACCUUCUUCGAUCUUGAGAUCAGAUAUGUCCAUAAUAGUUUUUUUCUAAAAUAAUCUUCAUCAUUCUUGUGGACUUAGGUGCCAAAGCUUCCUACGCCACAAAUUAGUUUCUUCAACUUUAGAUAUGAGACAAGAUUGGGGUUUAUUUUCAUAAGUGGGUGACCACAAGUAGCAAUUGUUAGUAGAUCUAGAAUCCUUCAUGAGUUAAGUGUGUUGUUUAUAUGUAAUCGUGCAUUCUUCGCUAUUAAACUUAAUGCUUAAAUCCUGAUCACAUAAUUAACGGAUGAUGAUGAAAUUUUCAAUAAGACUAUCAAUCAACAACACAUCUUUAAGAUAAGGAAGUCCAAGACAAUCUAACUGACCCUUUUCAAUAAUUUAUCAUCUAACACCAUCGUAAAAACUAACAUAAUAGUUGGAAUAGGGUUUGAUAUUCUUUAGAUAGUUCCUUUCAUUAGCCACAUGUCUUUAAUAAUUUCUAUUAAAGUACUAGUUUUCUCUAGAUGAAACCUUGAGAAAGUUGCAAGCAAUAUUAGCUUGAAGCUUAGGCUUGUCACGUUAUAGUUAUUGAGGAUGCCGAUCAGUCUUUAUAUUCCACUAGGGAUAUAGUUGUUUUUAUGUAGAUUUUUACCAUAUAGUUUAUAACAUAAAGGAUGAAUGUGCCCACACCAACCAUAGUAAUAACAAACCCUUAGAGAUUUGACUAAGGUGUUAGUGUGCUACUAAUAAUGUUAGGUAGGUUGUUGUGACAUUAUACCAUACAUCGUAGUUUCUGAUUUAUGUGUAGGAGGAACAAACACAAUAUUUGGGGAUGAUGAUAUGCUAGUAUAUCAAACUUCUUUUUAUUCUUUGCAAGUUUGUCCAUACUUAAAAUGUCAUCAAGUUUAUCAUAUCCAUAAUUUAGCAUGCGCACAUAUUUGGUCAUACCUUCAAGUUUAGAAUUAAGACGCCCAACUUCUUGCUUCAAAUCAUUAAUAGUGAGCAUGGUUCAAUUUUUUUCUUGAAAAAUAGUUUCAAUUCAUACCUUUUUUUGUUAAUCACUUUUGAUUCUUCAUUCCACUUUAAAUAAAGAGUUUGUAUAUGCUUCAUAAAGGGCAUCAAUCGAUAGCUCAUCUUCAUCACUUUCAUUCCCAUUACAAUUAGGAAAUAUAUAAGCAUUAGGUAACUCCGGAUUAGAAAUCUCUUUGAAACGAGUAGUAAGAGCCACAACAUUAUUUGUUUGAUCAAACUCACGUUCUUUGUCAGAUUCAUCAUCUGAAAAGGCGACAUUAUAGUUUUUUCUUUUUUUUAUUAUAAAAUUAGAACAUUCAAAUUUGAUAUGUCCAAAUCCUUCACAUUCACGACAUUGAAUUUCUUUAGCUCUGUUGGGAUCACAGAGUUUUUUAUUUUACCAUAUUUUCCUCGACGCUAAAAUUUACCACUUUUCAGAUUUUGUUGUUGAUUGUCUUUGACAUUGGAAUGACAUUGUUCCAAAUCUUCUAUCAAUUUUCUCAUGCUAAAGCUCUUAGUGAGUAUAGAAGUAGAUUCAGUUAAAUUAUCAUCAGUGUCAUUGACUACAUGGUCUUCAUGAUCAACAAUGUCAACUUUGGUACACCUUUAUUCUUUCUCUCAGAUUUUUCAUCAAUGACAAUAUCAAAGGUGGGUAAGGAGUCAAUCAAUUAAUUAAAUUUCAUUUUGAAGAUAUUUCUAGCUUCCUCAAUGGUAGUAACCUUCAUAAUAAACCUCUUUGGUGGAGAUCCUAGAAAUUUUCUUAUAGGCUUCUCGUAUGACAUUUUUUCACUAAGAGCGAAUGAGUUAUUAGUAAUGUCACAAAGAUGUACAUUAAAUUCACUAAUAGGUUCAUCCUCAAACAUAUUCAAAAUUUCAAAUUUAGUGGUAAAAAGUUGAAGUCUUGACAUAAAAACUUUGGAAGUUCCCUAAUGAGCAACUUCAAGAUUUUUUCAUUCCUCUUUAGCACUAGUGCUUAUGUUAAUGAUUCAUUCCCCUAACUAUAUUUUUGUAAACUCCAUUGUAAAUAGAAUUAUGAAAAUGAUAACUCCCAAGUGCUUCUUCAUCUUCGACAUAUGUCCAAUCUUUUCCAGGCUUCACAUAUUCUAAAUCAUCAUCAUCUUUGAUCGUAGGAGGAUUUCAUUCAUUGAUGAUCUUUUUCCAAGUUUUGUCAUCCAUGAUCUUAAGAAAGGAGACCAUAUGUUCUUCCAAUAGUCAUAAUUAGUACCAUCAAGAAUUGGUGGAUGGUUAAUAUAUCCUAAUUCCUUGGUAUUGUCCAUCUUAAACAUAAUAUGAUAGAUACCCUAAAAUGCACCCAACUAAAGCAGGGUGCAUGCUCUGAUGCCCAUUAAAAUUAUGUUUGAUCGAUAACAAGAUGUCACACACAAUGUAGAAACAAUGCGUGAGACAAAUUGAUAUGAAAUAAUCGAUGAACAAUCAAAUAAAUUAUAAAUAAGAAACACAAAGAAUUGGUAUCCCAGUCUGGUGCAAUCAUCACUUAUGUGCGGAGGGUUGUAGCCCAAAGGAAAAGAAAUUCACUAAUUAGAAGUAGUCAAUAGUAUACGACGGUCUCAUCUUAAGGAAUAUCUUGAGUUUCUUGAAGAAAGUAAUAAAAUGCUUAAGUUCGAAUUUGCUAGUAUUAGAAAAUCAACUUAAACAUGUGAGACUUGCGUCUCUUUGAAAAAGGAAGUGACAGAUCUAUAUGAAAUCUUAAGUAAGUUUACUAAGGAAAAAUAAAACAUUGACCUGAUCUUAUUAAGUCAAAAUCCUUCCUUAAAUAAAAUUGGAUUUGUUAAAAAUUUCAAGAAUAUCAAAAAUAAAUAUUGGUGAUAUUCCUUUUUUUAAUCUAAUUGGAGUUUUAACUUCUUUCUAUUUAAAUAUUAGAUAAAUAAACAAUCAAAAAUUAAUAUUUUUUUAAUUUAAUUGACAUUUUGACUUCUAUUUAUAAAAAUAUAUAUUGAAGUAACAUUUUCUCUUUUAAUCGAGUUGGUUUUGACAUUUUCUAUUAUUUUUAGUCGAUGAUUUUUUGAACAUUUUUAUCGAUGCUUCACAAAGGACUAAUGGUAAAACAUUUUUUUAAAAGAUAAACUUCAACAAAAAUUGUUUCACCUUAUUUUAAUCUCAUUCUUUCAUACUGAGUAACCUUUAUAAUUGGUCGAAUUGUUACUCGAAUGUUUUGCAUGGAUCAUAUCGCUAACUAUUUCUUGCAAUGAACGAUUCUUCGUUUCACCAAUUCCAUUAUGGUGAGGUGUGAUGAGGGCAGGGAGUUCAUGGACAAUCCCUUCAGUUGUGCAGAAAUGAGAGAAGCUGGAGUUCUCAAAUUAUCUGACAAGAUCGCUUCGAAUGGGAAUGAUAUUGGAAAGUUCUUAUCCCUUUUCACCUUGUAGAGGACGACAAAGAGUUUCAAAAUAAUGAAGGUGUCAUACUUUUCACGAAUAAACUCCAUCUGGUGUACCUGGAGUAGUCAUAAACAUACACAAAAACAUAUCUCUUAUCUUCAAGACUCUCAACUUGCAUAGGUCUCAUAAAAUCCAUAUGAAGUAAUUCAAGAAUACGAGUAGUGGUAAGAUAUUGAGCCUUCUUAUCUGAAAUCUUAUUUUGCCUCCUAAUCUAAUAGUCUCACUACUACAAAAAUCAUAUUUUACCUUGGACGUCAAUGGGAUUUUACCUUGCUUACUUAAGUGAGAUAACGAAUGACGUCAUAAAAACUUGCCAUUUUACCCAUCGGUUUCUGAUUAACUGAGGGGAUAGUUGAAAUUGUCAUUUUUUCGACCCCCAACAACAACAUUUUUAUAUUUUUAAAACUAACGCCACAUACCUCGGUUUCUAUCAAAAACCGAGGGAAAAAUAUUUUUUUGAAAUACAAAUUACAUUGUUUACACAGAAUAUUAAAUUACAUUGUUUUAAAAUAUCUAUUUCUUUAUUAAAGUACAAAGUUUAUUAUGUUACAUUGUUUUGGUUUCAAUAUACAAGUACACAUUUUUGACAAAUCUGAUUCAUCAUCACCACUCUUAUUCUUGAAGAAGAACAAAUCCAUAUUUCGUUGCAUACCCAUUGCUUUUCAAGUUCAAUAGUUUUGCACGCUUUCAAUUUUUGAUUUAACAUAAAAAAGGUUAUAUACAUAACAUAAAAUUUCAGUUAAAAGAUAAGAUAUUAUGUAAGAAUAUCACCCUUGGAACAAUUUUUUUAUGCACUUGCAAUCCAUCCCAGAUAUUUGUUACAAGCUUCAAAUUGCUUUUCAUGGUCAAUGCUUCAUUGUCAAUGUUUAGGUUUCAAAGGACAACGCCUAUGAUAUAUAGUGGUGGUGUUCGUGUUCUUAUUGGAUGUAAUGGGUAUCUUGUGGAUUGAUGUGUUGACAAUAUCUUGAGCGUUGUUACUGUAUGAAUGUAGGACAUAAAUUCAUUAUAGGCUAAUUGAGUAACUAUACCCCUCGGUUCUUUUAUGAAAGAACCAAGGUAAUAUAUUACUUGCAAAACCAAAUGGUGAAUGGUAAAAAGUUGAAAGUAACAUGUAUUAUUUCCUUUUUUAGAUUUUUACCAUUCAUCACUUUCUUUGUGUGCUGGCAUAUUCAAAUAAAGGAUUGUAUUCAAUACAAAUUUUCAAGAUCUUAUAUUAUGAAACAAAAAGAUUUCUUGUAAUUUAUAGUAUGUUUAAGAACAAAUUUCUCAUGUUGUCAAUCGAGAAACAAAUAAAUUAUGGAGUGUUUUUUUUACUGACAACAUAGGAAGUUAUUCCAAAAUAUAACAAUCGUCUUGCAAUAGGUGGAAACAACAACAACAACAACACCGCAAAAACCCAUUAUGUGAGAUAGAUUGCGAGAGCAUAAUUUUUUUUGUUCAAGGUUGGUGUUAGAAGAACAACAUACAACACAAAACCUUGAAUAUUUUCUCUGUCUUGCAAUCCAUCCUAAAGAAAAAUGUGUACGAGUUUGGAAACAAUGGAAAAAACUCAGAAACCCCAAAAAAGAAAACGUGACACAAUGGAAUCAAAUCCAAGUCAAGGGAAUUGGUAGACCAGAGCCUCAACAAUCUCAACCACUAACCUCAAUCUGUCAAACAAUGGCAAUGAAUGAUAUAUAAGAGAAAACAAACGCAAUAAAUGGUAUAACAAAAUGAACAUCAAAACUUAGUACCAACACUAUGCUUUCAUGAACAACCAUGUUUAUCUACUUCUUCACAUUGCAAAUAAACAAACUCCAAAACUCAAACCAAACAUGACACAAAUUCAAGUUCUCAUCAAAAGAAACAUGAAGGUGAUAAUGGCAAAGAUGAUGGCUAUCAAUUAUGAAUUAUUUUUAGUGUCUCACCCUUCAAUGUAUCUACUCAAGUGACAAACAACAAACUACUCAGAAAACAAAAAAUGGCCACUGCAUUUCCAACUUCAUGUUUAAUUAAGGUCAUUUUUAAGCAAGUAAUAAACAAUCUAAAAGAAAUGAAAACCAAGAGAAACAUAAACAAUGCAUUCUCAAACAAACAAAACCAGAAUGAACGCAACAAAACCUUUACACUGAAGGCAAUGGCAAUGGAUGUGGUUCUCGGUGAUGAUAUUGUGGGCGCCAGUGAAACUCACGAUGAAGGAGUUUAAGGAUGGUUCCCAGCGAUGGUAUCAUGGAAGCAAAGGUUGUCGCUUGAUGCGUAUGUUGGUGGUUUACGAAGAGGAUGGUGUUUCUCACGGUGGCUUUGAUGUUGAAGUGAAGGGAGUUGUUUGAAUGAUGAUUACACAGUUGUGAGGAGAAGAUGUGGUGAAUAAGGGUGGUGUCACGGUUGUGAAGAUUUACAGGGUGUGAGUUUUGUUUGGAAGAGUGGAAGAUGAGGUAAGUGGUUGAAUGGUAUGUGGUUUGUGGUUUGUGUAUUUUGAUGUAGGGAGAUGAAAGAGGUAUGGCGUAUGGGAGUUGAAGGUUUGUUGUUUUAUAAUGGAAAAAGAGUGAAGAAGAAUUAUAGUGGAGAGGUAUUUUUAGGAAGAAGAGGGUGUGAGGUUGGUUUUGCGUUUUUGCAGCAAACUCAAAUUAGAGAGAGGAGAUGAAGAAUACCAUACGUGAGGGAGCCAACCAACGAGAUCUUUUUUUUUAUAUUAUGAAAACAGGUUGUCAGCCACCUAUUGGUUCUUAUAGGAUUGUUUUGAAAUAAAAAAGCACCUUUCUCAUGCACCGUGUGUCCGUCUCAAAUUGGCUAUAUCCCUCUUUUUUGUCUUUUUCGUUUUAGUGGAGUGAGAGAAAGAUGCUAGUGGGAAUCCCAAAUGUGUUUCUCAUUUUUUGUGUAGUCUCUCUUGUUGGAGGAACAAAACCAUUGCCAGCUUUUUGUUUAUUUUAUCACCAUCGAGAAAAGCGGGUUCAUGAGAGGGAGAGAAAUUUUGAAUGGAUUUCUUGUGAGGACACAUGGCACAAAGUUAUUAGAAGAAGAGAUAUAUUUUCCUAUUUUCUUGAUUUUCUUUAACAAAUUUAAAUUAUUAAGUGGAAUUUCAAAAAUAAAUUAAAAAUAAACGACACAAUCAAAAUUCAAACUAAAAACAAGAUAAUUUCUAAAUAAUCGUCUCGAUUAUUUUGACUAGAAAACAUAAAUAAAUGGAUAAAAAAUUAAUAAAAAUCGGGCGCAAAAAUGCCCAAAAAAUUAAUAUGGUUGCACCACAAUGAUCAAUGCAAAAUAAACUUCUCGAAAACAUACAGUUUUUUAUCGAAUUUGAAAAAAAAAUGUCCGAUUAAAACGCUCAGGCAAAUGAAAAUGUAACCGAAAAAGUAGCUGAAAAAAUAAAUCGAGCACACCAGGUUAAACUACGUGAAACAUAGAUUAAUAAAAUUGAUGUUUGUAAACUCAAUUUUGAUAUUUUUCGUCCGCUGAUUUGACACACAUUUGAAAAUUGAUUCAAUCAGUCUGUUUGUAGAUCCAAAAAUUUAUUUUGACUAACAUUCUAGGAAUUAUGCGGUAUGGGGUGCAUGUUAUGAUAUGCAGAGAUGCAAAAACUGUGAUAUAUGUAUUGAUUCCGCGAUUCAGGGUCAAAAUUGGGGUGUGACACAUAUGUCUCAUGAUUAUUAACUGAAUAAUAAUAAUAAGUCAUAACAUUAACAUUAAUAUCAUCCGGUCAUAUGUCUUGAUCAAGUAAAAAUAGGUUCGUCCUCAAAUUUGACCUAACCUAAAGGAAUCUAGCUACUCGUGCUGAAAUUAAUCAAUACCAGUAGUUUAGAUUCAAAGAGCAUGAAAAAUCACUAAAGAAGAAGCUCUCCAAUGGCCUUCAAAAUCUCCAAAAUCACUCUAAAACGUCUCUCUCUCUCUCUCUCUCUCUCUUCUCUCUCCUCUCUUCUCCCCUCCUCCUCUCUCUCUCUUUUAUAUAAAGUUGCUGGAACGCGGGCACGUUGCACUAUCAUUACUUCAAUGUUGGCGUAUUGCUUUUCAAUGCUGGCUCGUUAGAGGCAGUGUGCGCAUGUUAUAGUCGUGUAAAAUCCAGGGGCUUCAAUGCGUUUUUGCUCCUUUUUUUCACCAAUUUUCUCACUAAGUCAUUUUCUUCACCCUAUGACGUUUUUUUCCAACUUUUUCAAUUAAAUGCUUCUAACUUGCUCAAUUCUUUUCAGAAUUCAACGAUUUUUCUUGCUAAAUGACGUGCAUUGAUAACCCUUCAUCAUAACCCCAAAUUUAAAUUGUUGCUUGUCCUCAAGUAACCUGUACGCACACUAAAACUUUAUCAAAAAAAUUAGAAACCUUACCACAUGAAUGUCACUUGAUUUUGCUAAUCAAGACCUUCGUUUCAUGAUUAGGUUUAAUCAAAUCUGAUAAUUUAUUACAUCAUCAUUACUUAACAUGUCUCUCUACUUACCAUGAUGCACUCAAUUGAAAGGAUGUUCACUCAAUCAACAUGCAAGGGUAAAAACCAGUGAAUUUAUAAGUUAUCUCCAAAAUCAGUCAGAUCAUAUUUAAACGCACAUAUUUGAGGAUUUUUUCAGUUGUAAUAUGGCUUAUGUCAGGGUAGGAUAAUUUUUGGAUAAUUGGUUUAAACCUUGGAGUUAGGUACCUCUUUGUCCUUCCGUUAUCUUUUCCCUUUCAUAUCAUUCUUUCUUUCAUACUUGGUACUAGAGAUUUUUCAAAUUUGUGGUCUUUUUCAUCAAUUUAUUUUUUGAAAAUGCCAUGUUUUAACAUCUUAUUUUAUUUAUUUUUCUUUUCUUAGACCAAAUACUAUAGUACCCCCAACCCCAAAUUAAGUGUUGCUAACUUCUAAGAGCAACCCCAAACUUAGUGUUAGCUUAUACCAAAAUUAAAAUCUAUCUACCUAACUCUAAGGAGGAUGGAAAGAUUUAUAUAUUUUAAGUCAAGGGCUUAUAAUAGGCUAAUUCUCCGAAGGAAAUGCUAAUUCACAAAUUGGUUAACAAUGGAUAUCAGUCAUAAUGUAAGGGUAGUUUAUAAGUCCGUAGAGUUUUCACAAACAAUUGCCUUUAUGCAUGUUUAUCAUAUCAACUUACUUUAAACAAAUAAAAUGUAAGUUCUAGAUAUUACAAUUGCAUGGAUACACUGAGAAAAAUAAAUAAGUAAACAAAUGGAAAUAUUAUGGCUCAAACCUCACAAGUUUAUAUUUGUAGAUUAAGCAACAACAAUGGUGUCCCCUUUCUUCAUUAAUCAUUACUCAGCAAAGUCACUUUGAUCUCGAUCACACUAUUCUCUAUCUAUUGUGACUUAUUUUCUAUUCAAAGGUAAGGUAGUAAUUAAACUGAAAAAGAAACAUACACAAACAAAAUUCAUUUAUCAAAGACAAAGCAAUACAAAAUUUAGGGCAGACAACAUUUUUGGAGCUCCCCCUUUUUAACUGAUUGGUACAAAAGGAAAUAAACAAAAGGAAAUAAAACAAAAGUAGUAUGUUGGACUAGAAACCAUCAUCAGGACGGAAGAAGUCAUGAAGUCGAGUAAGGUCAUCAUUAUAUUCCUGAUUCUACCUAGCCCAAAGGAUCCUCAUCUCUGCUUGCAUGUUUUCUAAGCUUUGAUUCUGCUCCACAAAGUGCGUCUCUGUCGCUACUAAAGUAGGAGAUUUUUUGCUUAGAUUAGGGACAAAUACAUGAUCUAUGCGAUGAUCAUAAAAAUCUUGGUACCCGACCCAAAUCUCGGGGUGUUGAUGUACAGAUUAGGCGACGCUUCAUGAGCCUAAGUGGUUAUGCCCAAGGAAAAUUCUUAUCACUGAUGCAUUUGUUCAGAACGUUGCUGAUUUUGAUGGGCUUCCUCAGGUGGUUGUUUCAUCUCAGGACGGUAGACAUCAUCCUCUCCUUGCUCCUCUUGGCCUCUGGCUGGAUGACGUGGGUGGAGGGUCUUGCGGAUGGAACUUGUUGUGGUUAGAAGCAUAUGGUUGAUCAUCACCUCUUCUGGGUGCAUCUGGACUCCUGCCAACCUGCAAAAUUUGUUAAUAACACAAAAGUGCUCCCUAUUUCUUUGGGGGGCAUCAUCCAUAAAUUUGAUGUUUCUCGUAAUGAGUAUUCCCAUAUUAAUAUGCUCAUAAUGCAAGAUAGCCGUGAGAGUCUGGCACAUUCUCACCGUCAAGUCAGAAUGAGUUGAAAUGCCUCCAAGGUUUGGAUUAAAAACGAAGCCCAAGCCUUAGGUAUCAGGAGCAUGUCUCUAACCUUCAAAUUAAUAAACCUAUCUUAAGCCAUUAUCCACUCAGUCUCAGGAUGACAAAACUCAGCCAACAUCAUCUGACUCAUCUCAUCAGAUAAUCGCACCUUCCUACUAUUUUGAAUGUUACAACUUGGAGGUGCUUGGAGACGAAUAAGAGAAUUAAUAGCUUGAGGAGAAAAAUCAAUACUUUUACCUCGGGCAUAUGAUGUGUAAUCAUGAGAUUUUUGAUUGGCAGCGUUCACGUAGAACUCAAACCCAAUGUUUUACUUGUCUCCUUAAUCAGCUUAUUCAGGCACGUUCAUCCUCUUGUCUCUAGUAUGUUGUUUAACUCUUCAAAUCUAGAGAGAUGCUCCUGAUCAAAGGCACACUCCCUCAUAAUUAUGAACUUCUUAAUCUGCAUGAGUUUUUAUGCGCUCGGUUCAUUCACAAAUAGAUACGAGGGGUAGUUGGAGCUGAUGAUAUGGAUUGACCAAAGGUACAACUUCUAUUUGGUGGUGCCAUAAAUUAUGUAAACACAAUAGUGAAAACAACAAGUCUUUUGCAAGAAUAUGAUAGUAAUUUGUGAGAAGAAGAGAGAAUUAAGAUUGGAAUGAAAAAGAAUAGCUGAAAAACCACUUUUAAAGGCCAGCUUCGCGUCCAACGUGCGCGUUGAGAUCGAAGGUGCCCGCGUUGACCAAUGGUAGAGCCAACGAUCAUCAAUCCAACGGUCAAAGCAAAUGGUCAAAAUCCCCAACUAUCAAAUCCUUCCACGCGCCCGUAUUUUUUCAGGGGCUAUCUCCAUUUUUCUGUACAAGAUUUUACUUUUCUAUCACUUGCUUAUUGUUACAUGCUACCUCCAUUGCCUUUUUUGAUGAUUCUACUCAUCCAACAAACAUAAAAAAUACGAACACAAUAAAAUAAAAAAUACAUUUAAAUUUAAAUUAAUGGAAAUUAAAAUUAUCUGAUAUGAAAUUAAUUAGAAUGGAGACAGUUAGACUAAUUGUUGCAAUCAGUAGUUAUUAGAGAUUCCUAUGUAGCAAUUAUAUGUGAAUUCAUUUGUCCUCGAUGGAAAACUAGAAUAAGUAGUUUCGAGAUAAAAGAUGUGUACAAGUUGAAGACAAAUCUUAAUGGAUUGAUACAAGCACCUAUAUUGAUGGGUUCCUACUUCAACAAAUUUAUAUUUUAAGAGCUCAACAAUUAAUCAUAAGUUGAUUAUGUACACUUUAUGUUGAUGACGAGAUCAUAAAUGGGAAUGGUGAACUUGAGAAGAAUAAAUUCAUGAAAUACUCGAUGAAUGAGUUUAAGAUGUAUCAUCUUAAAGCCUUGUCAUACAAUAGAAAGAGUACUAGUGCAUCAAAAUAUAUAUGCAAAAGAUGUAAUCGCAUGGUGAUAUAAGAGAAUUCUUGCUAUUGUUGAUCAAAUUUUAUUUAUUUUGGAUGUCUUUUUUGUCCACUCAAUUAAAAGGAAUUGUAUUCUUGCGAACUUGCUAAAGCAAUUUCUAUUUAUAUUCUUAAGAUAUUAAUAUUUAUUCCAAGAUAAAGGCAUCCAAUUCCAAAUAUAGUGUACAUGUUACCAGUGGCGGAACUUACUGCUUUUGUAUUUAGCUAAAGCUUAUUUGAUGUAGAUUCUUAAGUCUGAGACGAUCUUUCAUCUCAUUAUAUGUUCCAAUUCAUUUUGAAGACAACACAAUUUGGGUUAUACUAAACUAAUUCAUAUGAAGGAGAAGUGAUCAAUACAGUAACUGAAAAUUAAAAAACUAAUUCACUAUCGAUGGAGAUGUGAGUUAAUUGAUGAAUUAACUAAAAAAUUAUGUCCUAACAAAAUAAUGGUUUAAAAAUUAUGCAUGAGAGUAUACAACAAAAUAAUGAUUUUUAAUUCCGCAUGAAAUUAAAAAAUUAUGUCACAACAAAAUAAUGGUUUAAAUGUAUCAUCUUAAAUCAUAGAAUGAAAGUAUACAUAUCAUCUUAAUCCUGCAUGUCAAACAAAAUAUAUCAAACAUUAUCUUUUUGGUUAAUCCAACGGUUGCAUUAUGAAAGUUUGAACUAUACGGGUCUUAAGCCCAAUUAACACUUUUAAAAAUUUGUAUUAAAUAUUUUUUAAAUAAAAAUAAAUAAAAUAAUAAUUAAUUUAUGAAAAAAUAUUAAAUAAUAAAUUAUUCUAAUCAUCGUUGUCAACUCAUUAAAAAAAAUUCUAAUCAUUACUGUCACGUCUGUAAAAUUAGAGGAAGACCAACUAAAUCCUAAAUGAUAUAAAAUUCAGGGGCCAAAAAGCUGGUUUUUAAAAUAGAUUGACUAAAAAUAUUAAAAAAAACAUCGAAGUAGGGGACCAAAAGUGCAUUUAAACUUUUUUUAUAAGUGUUUUUGGACUUUUCACACGUAUUAAGAAAAUAAUCAUUGUUGCAUGUCAAAGAGAAAUUACGAAGGAUUUUACAAUAUUGUCUUUUAUUAAUUGCAAAGGAAAUAUAAAUUUAAAUAAUUGAAAGAAAAUAUGAUAAUAAAUACUUAAAGGUGUAAUAGAGAAUAACAUUAAUGAUUUUUUAAUAUUGAAAAAUGAAUUAUAUUUUGAUACAAUUUUUUCUCCAAAGAGACGGAUGAAGUAAUGAAUAAUUAAUGUAGAGAUAUUUUUGGAAUAAAGAUAUUAAAUAAGUUGAUAUUUGUUUAUAUUUAAGAUCAAAUAUUUUUUUCUUAUAAAUAAGGUCGGGGUACUAUUAUAGGAGUACUUUCUCUAUUCUAAAUUAUAAGACAUUUUAGAUAUUUCACACGAAUUAAAAAAUAUAAUUAAUUUUGUAAGAAAAAGAUAAAUUAUGUAUGAUUUUACAAUAUUGUCGAUAAUUUGUUAUAUAUGCUUCAUUUAUUAUAUAUGAAGGAAAAAGUCAAAGAAUUUGAAAAAGAAAUAUUAAUAAAUGAUAAAGAGUAUCUUAAAAAAAUACAUAAUUAAUGUUGCAUUGGAAUUAUAAAGUAACUUACUCAUUCCAUCUUAAAAUAAAAAUCUUUUAAGGUUGUUACAUACAAAUUAAGAAAACUAAUGAUUGAAUAAAUAAAUAUAACAAUUUUAAAAAAUUGUCUUUAAUUAAUAUUGGUUGUCAUAAAUACAUAGUAUGGUUUAAUAACUCGAAUGUAAUAUAGACAAUAUUUAUAACACGUAAAGUUGAUAAAAAUUAAUUAAUAUUAUAUUGAAAAAGUAAAGAGACUUUUAUUUUGAAAUAAGAUUUUCUUAGGAAAACACUUACUUUAGGACAAAGCAGUAUAAUUGAGAAAUUUUUUUUAACAUAUUGACUUAUAUUUUGGGACAGAUAGAGUAAUAUUUUUAGUUAUAUUUAUGGAUCAACUAUCAACAUUAAAUUGUUUAAAAUUAAAUCAAUGGUAUAAUAGGAACACAAGUAUUAAUUAGUUUUAAAAUGAUUGAAUUUUAAUUGUAAUAGUGAUCAAGAUUUAAGAUCAUAUUUUUGCUUAUAAUAAUGACACGAGCGAGUAUAUAUUUGGAAUUAAAAAAUUAAAAGAAUCAAGUUAAUUUUUUUAAAAUAUUUUUUAAAAAAAAAGAUUGUUUUUUUCUUAUAUUUUGUUCUGACGUAUUUCCAGGAUCCCUUAUUUUCUUGUUAUCUGAUGUAUUUUCAAAUAUUCUUUUGUAAUUUUGAUGCAUUUCAAGAGUUUUUUUCUUUUACCCUCUGAUGAAUUUCUAGAUGCGCCUUAUCCCUACCUAAUGUAUUUUCAAAUAUUCCAUUAUCAUUCAGACAUAUUUCCAUCAUUUGUUUUUUUUAUCCGAUGAAUUACCACAUACGAAUGUUGAGUUCUGAGGUAUUUUCAGAAUCUAUCCAUUUUAUUUCCGGAUUAUUUCAUUUAUAUCUCUAAUGUAUUUUCAGAUUAAGUGUUAUGUUCUGAGGUAUUUCUAGAACCUAUCUGAUGUAUUUUUGGAUUUAUGUCAUUAUCUUUAUAAUAUAUUUCCAGAACAUACUUUUAAUAUUUUCUAGUGUCUUUUAUUCAUCAAAUUGUCAUCCCCAGUGAGUCUUCACCUCCAUUGUCUUUUUCAUUCCCUGUGGAUCGCUGUUACAUUUUUCCAUCAUUAUCCACGGGUCCAUUAUCCUUUUGUUCCUCAUCCAUCAUAAAAUCCCCGUGCUAUGAUUCAUCUCAUACCACAUCAUAUUCCUAGCAAACAAAAAUGAAGAAAAAAAAGAGUUUAUGAUGCAUUCAUAACAUUUCAUAAAGGGACAAAAUUUGGAUCCUUUAAUAUUUAACUAUCUCUCACCGCGAUCAUAUGAAGAGUGUCCAUAUUCAUAUUCUUUGGUCGAAGAUACUUAAAUAGGGAAACUGUCAUACUCCAAUUUUUUUUCUCUCAUUCAAUAAAUUGAUGCAUACAUCAUGAUAUUUGCAUCACCUGCCUAGCAUAAUAUGCAUUUCAUCUUACAUAAUGCUUAAAAUGUCAAUCAAAAUAAAUUUUCGAAUAUACAAUUCUCAAAUGUACAUAAAAUUAGCGAGCAAAAUUUUUUGAAAUCAAACUUGUAAACAUCAAUUUUAUUAAUCUACGGUUCGCAUAGUUCAACCUGUCGUUCUCGUUUUAUUUUUUCGACUCCUUUUUUGUCGCAUUUUGAUCAGGUUUAGCAUUUUAACCUAUCAUUUUUUACUUUAAAAUUUGAUCAAAACCUAAUCAUUUUCUAGAAGUUUAUUUCAGGCUGUUUAUUUUAGUCCAUUCAUUUUAAUUUUUCGACCAUUUUUGUGUCAAUUUUUAUUCAUGUUGAGUCCUUUUAUUUUUGUCAAAAUGUUUUCAUUUCGAUUUCAUUGUAAUUAUUUUUAAGUGUUUGAUUUUUAUUUUGCUUAAUUAGUUUUAAUUCAAUUUAUCUCUUAAAAAUAUAUAAAGGGCAUUGUGGAAAUAUUUGAUUUUUAAAAAACCCUAGUGUAGUUAUUAUAUAUAAAAUCACCAAUGACCAGUGGAGAGAGGGAGAAGCAGCGGCAUAUCAUCUCCUUUACUAGUCUCGUCAUCUCUCAAAAUGAGUUAUGAUGAAACCUUUUUUUUCUUGGCAACAUUAUAGUUCCUCUUGUAUUCAUUAAAUGCAUGAAUCUCUUCUCUCAAAUAAAAAGACAAGAGAAUCAUGAACAAAAAGAAAAAAGAAAAGUGCAUAAAACUAAAGGCUUGGUGUUUCACUAUUCAUGUUCUUCUUCAACAAACAUAUAGCUCCUUCACGCCACCUUUCUUCAUUUCUCACCAUCAACAACAAUAAUCUUCAUGUAAAAACUUCUACACACCACUUAAAACCUCAUAAAAAUCACACCAAACAACUUUAAGCAUCAACCUACACCACACUUUCAUGAAGAUCUCCAAGUCCUCUAACACAAACUUCAUAAUCUAUUCUAUUCAACCAACCUUCAUCAUCUCACUAAACUAAUCUUCUUCAACUCUCACACUCCAAAACCAUAAACAACACUGUUGGUGCAAAGGUAGAAUAAAAGAUGAAUAUUCUAUUAAGAGAAUGACGGCUACAAAAAGGAUUAAAAGUUACAAUGAUUGACCCCCUAUUUAUAAGCCUCUAACAAACUUAAAUAUGAAUCAAAUCUAAUAUUUAAAUCUAAUAUCUAACAAACUUAAAUAUGAAUCAAAUCUAAUAUUUAAAUCUAAUAUCUAACAAACUUAAAUAUGAAUUAAAUCUAAUAAUUAAUCUAAUCCAUCCCUUAAUUCAUAUUCCAUCAAAACUUGAACACCAAUUCCAUCCCUUAAUCUGAGAAAUUGAUCAGUCUUGAUAGUUUCGUCAGAACAUCUGCCAACUGCUUCUGAGUGCUGCAGUGUACAACUUCUAACACUCCCCUCUGAACUUGAUGUCUCAGAAAAUGAUACUUGGUCUCAAUGUGCUUGCUUCCCCAUGCAACACUGGGUUUCUGGCAAGAUUGAUUGCAGACUUGUUGUCAAUCAUCAGCUUCAGAGGUUUGUUUACUUUAAUCUUCAGAUCCUGCAAUAGAUUCAGAAUCCACACAGCUUGGCAUGCAGUAACAGCACCUGCAAUAUAUUCAGCUUCACAAGUUGACAACGCCGCAACAGGUUGCUUCUUGAACACCAAGAAAUGGGACCUCCCAGAAAUUUGAAUAAGUACCCAGACGUACUUCUUCUGUCAAAUCUGUCUCCACACCAAUCAGAAUCUGAAUAACUCAGAAGUUCUGACUCAUCCUUUCUUCCAGAAGAAAUAAUACUCCAUACUUCAGAGUUCCCUUGAUAUACCUCAGAAUCCUGACAGCAGCUUGGUAAUGGGACCACUUAGGUUUACUCAUAGAACCUACUAACCAUCCCAACUGAAUAGCAAUAUCAGGUCUGGUAUUGCACAAAUACCUCAGAGAACCAACCAACUGUUGAAGGUUGUAGCGUCCACAUCCUUCCAUCAGAGUCAGAAUCCAGUUUCUGAUUUGUAUCAGAUGGUGUGACAGCAAUCUUACAAUUCUUCAAUUCAAAUCUCUUCAGAAGUUCUAAUUCAUACUUGAGCUGAUGCAAAAUAAUACCUUUCUCAGAGUAUCUGAAUUCCAUCCCUAGAAAGUAUGUCAUUUUGCCUAGAUCAGUCAUUUCGAAUUCAUUCAUCAGAACUUUCUUGAACUUGGCUAUCUCCUGUUCAGAACUUCCAGUCAAGCAGUAUAUCAUCAACAUAUAAACAUACCAGAGUCAUAUUUCCUUCAGAAGUAUGUUGAACAUAGACACACGUACUCCAUCUCACAUUUCUGAAAGCCUUGCUUCUUGAAAAAGAAUCAAUCUUCUUAUUCCAAGCUCUGGGCGCUUGUUUCAAUCCAUAUAGAGCUUUGUAUAAUCUGUACACCAUCCCUUCCUGAUUCUUUUUCACAAAUCCAGGAGGUUGUGACCCGUAAACUUCUUCUUCUAAUGGACCAUUCAGAAAUGCAGAUUUUACAUCUAAAUGCAUCAGAGGCCAAUUCCUGUUAGAAGCUAUUGCAAUCACCAUUCUGAUUGUUUCAUGUCUUGCUACAGGUGCAAACACUUCAGAGUAAUCCAACCCAGUUUUCUGUUAGAAAUCCUCUGGCUACCACCUUGCUUUAUGUUUGCCAAUUGAACCAUCUGGCUUUAACUUCUGCUUGAAAACUCAUCUGACGCUGAUGGCUUUCUUGUCUUUUGGAAGUUCUGUCAGCUUCCAAGUCUUGUUUCUCUCUAUAGCAUCAAGUUCUUCUUUCAUGGCCUUCAACCAGAGCUUCUGCUUAAGAGCCUCUUCUGUACUUAUGGGUUCAGAGUCUACUAACAUGGCACACUGAAUAACUUCUCCUUCAGAGUCUACUUCAGUGUCUUGCAGCAUGUCAAAUUCUGCAUAUCUCUGGGGAUGUUUCUGACUCUUUGUGGUCUCUGAACUUGUUCAGAGUCUUCAACUUCAGAGUUUCUACCUUCAGAUGGUUGACUUCCUCCAGAGCUUUGACCAUCUCAGGGGCUGGCAUAUUUCUAGAGUCUGAAUUGCCACUAGAAUCUGGAUUACCAUCAGAGUCUGGGUCAUCAGAGUCUGGAUCAUCAGAGUCUGAAACAUCAGAGUCUGGAACAUCAGAGUCUGGAACAUCAGAUUCUGGAUCACUAUCAGAGUCAGAAUCAACGUCAGAGUUUACUCCAACCUCAGAAAUUCUGAACUCUGACCUUUCUUCAGAAGUUCUAACAUCAGAAUCAGAUUGAGACUUUUCCUCCAAUUCCAAACUUCUGAUUCCUUCACAAUCACACUCUGCUGAAUUCAAUUUUAUUGGUUUCUGGACAAUAGAGCUUGUAUGCACCUGUACUGUGGUACCCUAUCAGAAUCAUCACUUUGCUUCUAUCAUCCAGCUUCUGUCUUCUGGCUUCUGGAACAUGUUUAUAGCAAACAGAACCAAACACCUUCAGAUGACUAACACUUUGCUUAUCUCCAGUCCACUUCUGUAUUGGAACUAUUCCUUCAACUUCUUCGUAGGACAUCGGUUGAGUACAUACGUUGCAGUGGCAACAGCUUCUCCCAGAGCUUCUGAGGAAGCUUUCUCCUUUAGCAUGCUUCUCACCAUAUCAAGCAAAGUGCGGUUUCUUCUUUCAGCAAGACCAUUGUGUUGAGGGGUAUAAGGAGCAGUAACCUCAUGCUCAAUUCCAUUCUCCUCACAGAACUUCUGGAACUCUUUGGAGUUAUACUCACCUCCACCGUCAGUUCUAAGAAUCUUCAACUUCUGACCACUCUGAUUCUCAGCCUUCAUUCUGAACUUCUUGAAUUCAUCAAACACCUCGUGUUUAAACUUAAUAAGGAUACCCAUGUCAUCUUGUGAAUUCAUCAACAAAUAACACAAAGUAUUUAUUCCCUCCAAUCGAUGCUACUGGAAAUGGACCACAACACAUCAGAAUGUACAACUCCCAAGGCAUGUUUUGCUCUUGGAGCAGUUUCUGACGCAAAUGGCAAUCGUGGUUGUUUUCCUUCCAUGCAAACUUUGCAUGACUUUUCAGGCUUCUUAAUUACAGGAAUUCCAUGUACCAACUUCUUUGAAUUCAGAUGUUUUAAGCUUCUGAAAUUCAAGUGACCAAAUCUUCUGUGCCACAGCUCACUCUCCUUCUCAGCACUUGUUGCCUAAGACAUUCUGAGUCUGCAGUUCUGACAUUCACCUUGAAUGUUCUAUCCUUCCCUGUUCUGACUCCAUAAUCAACUUCUGAUUGCAGUCAUACAGCUUCAGAAGAUUGUCCUUCAUGGUAACUGAGAAACCUUUCUCAAUUAAUUGUCCCACACUCAUCAGAUUGCUUCUGAUGCCAGGUACAUACCACACGUUCUGAAUCAAUGCUGUUUUCCCAUUGUUCAGAAUCACUCUGACAUUUCCCAUACCUUCUGCAUUAAGAUAUUUGUCAUCAGCACAUCUGAUCUUUGUUCUCUUUUCAGAGUCAAAGUCAACCAGCCAUUUCUUGUUUCCAGUAAGAUGAUUUGAACAGCCAGUGUCCAUACCACCAGCUCAUCAGAUCCAUAUCAUCAGAUUCAGAGGCCAUCAAUGCACAGAUUCGUCAUCAGAACUUCUGGCUAUAUUUGCUUCUUCUGAUUUUCUCUCCUUGUUUGACCAACAGUCUCUAGCAAAAUGACCGAACUUCUUACAGCAGUAACAUUGGAUUUUCUUCUUGUCAUACUUCUCUUUUCCCUUCUGAGCAUUCUUUUGUCUAUCAGAGGUUGAGCUUUCUGACUUCUGACCACCAUCAGAUCUUCUCCUGGCUUCUGACUGCUUCUGAUACUCCUAUUAGAAGUUGCUUUCAGAGCCUGCUGCUCUACUUCCCUUUCAGAAGUUCUCUCAGUUAAACGCAACUCUUGCGCUUCUAGACUGCUCUGCAGCUCUUCAAUCUCAUGGUGCUCAGAUCUUUGGAAUGUUCUAUUGCUACCACAAUGUAAUCAAAUUGACAGGUAAGGAUCUCAAUACCUUCUCCAUGAUUGUUUCUCAGAAAGAGUUUCUCCACACGCUUUCAUCUCAUUAGUGAUCAGAAUCAUCUGGAGAUGUAUUCAGAAACUUUCUCAUUAUUCUUCAUGUUGAGAUUUUCAUAUUGCUUUCUCAAGGACUGAAGCUUCACCUUCUUCACUGAUGCGUCACCACCAUAACAUCUAACCAGUGUGUCCCACGCAGCCUUUGCUGUCGUUGAAUCUGCAAUCUUCUCAAACACAUUUACAUCAACACAUUGAUGAAUGAAGAACAAUGCUUCUGAUCCUUCUUCCUUACUUCCUUCUCGCGCGUUUUCUGUUCAUCCGUUGCAUCUGCUGCUACCGGAAUAUAACCAUCAGUGACAAGAUCUAGAACAUCUUGAGCACCGAACAGUACACGCAUUUGGAUCAUCCAACGAUUCCAGUUUUUACCGUCAAAUACUGGAAGUUUGGUGUUCAUGUUGCCGUUUCCGUCAUCUUUCUACCUUGCACAGUACACUCAGAUUUCUCACACAGUGUUUCCAACCCCAGAAUUAAAAUUCUGAUCAGAUUUUGUUCAAGAUUCAACACGAAUCUAAGAAUCAAAUCAAACACACAAGACCUCACGUUCACUCGUGUUUCCCGUGUUUCCCAAUGAAUCCGAACCGGAGCUCUAGAUAUCAAUUGUUGGUGCAAAGGUAGAAUAAAGAUGAAUAUUCUUUAAGAGAAUGACGGCUACAAAAAGGAUUAAAGUUACAAUGAUUGACACCCUAUUUAUAAGCCUCUAACAAACUGAAAAUAUGAAUCAAAUCUAAUAUUUAAAUCUAAUAUCUAACAAACUUAAAUAUGAAUCAAAUCUAAUAUUUAAAUCUAAUAUCUAACAAACUUAAAUAUGAAUUAAAUCUAAUAAUUAAAUCUAAUAAACACCUCCCACUUUCCAUAUUCAUCUUCAUUUUCAUCACAACAUUUCUACCAUGAAAACCACUAACUUCAUACAUAUCAUUAGAAAGCACACAUAGCAACAAUAACAAAACACAAACAAAAAGAAAGAGAAACAACUCGAAAAUGGAAUCGUGAGCUGAAACGGAGGAAGAGGAAGGCAAUAUACUCGAGCUUCUUUGAAAUCGGCUAAACAAUCACAACAGCGCCACUGUUUAUCACGAGAGAGAGCUAAUUUUUUUUUCUUUUAGUCCUUUAUAGUGCCACGUGUGAUAAUCUAAAUGGCUACAUUUUAAUUUUUGAAAAAAAAUGAGAAAUUAGGCUCUCUGUUUGAAAUCCGCCGCCCCUGUUUAAGUUUUUAGUUGUUCAUUUUUUAUAUAUUUGAUUUAUUAUUUGUAUUAGGUUAGAAAUUGACUUUGGGGUUCUGCUAUUUUUUUUGAUUUUUUUUAAAUAAUUAUAAUUUUUUUUAAAAAUUCUAAAAUAAUUAUUUUUAAAAAAAAAUCCAAAAUAACCACCUUUCAAAACAGAUGCGUCAGAUGAACUGGCGCAUCCAUUUUGAACCAAGAGGAGGCGCCAGCUUUAGUGGCGCAUGCAUUGGAUGUCUCAUGAAGAGGCGCCAAUGCCUCUGGCACAUGCUUAUUGCAUGUGGUGUAUGCGUCAAUUCAUCUGGCACAUACACCCUUGUAUUGGUAUUAUUAUUUUUUAUUUUAUUUUUUUUAUCAAAUGGUAAAAAAUAAUGUAAAAAAAAAUUAUUCAUAAUAUAAUAAAUGUUACAUGGGAUUGACAAAAAUGUAAUGACCGACCUUAUCGAAACGUCCCCCUGUUCCACAUCCAGAUGUGUUAGUUUGUCUUCGAGGUCUCUCACGAUUUUCCUGAGGUGUUUAGGACCUUUGUGUGUUGACCUGAUCGAAUGAUGGCUAGUGUGAAGGUCCGACGGAAAUUCCAAUGGUAUUUGAUAGAUGUGUCAUCAUUUGUUCCCAAUAUCCUGAGGGUUCUGGCCAACGGCGCUUCCGUAAUGGAGUUUGGUGCUCAUGUCAUCGUAGUUAGAUUGAUGGGAUUGGGUGGGUUGUGGACGGUAUAGUUGCCUGAAUUUGGACAUUGAAUCGUUUUCGAAACGAAGCAAUGGUUCUUGGGGUGUACUAUAGUUAAACAAUGUUUGUGUGUUUUGAUGAUGGGAUGUUUGAGUGGUCAUUGGUGGGGGGCUACGAUGAAGUGACUCAUAUGAAUCAUCUAGGCUAUAGACAGUUGUGGUAGAAGCGUAUGGUUGUUGGUGGAUAGGGUUUGAUUCUUGGUUUUGUGGUUGGGUGAGUGACAUGAAUGGAUUGCAACGUUGGGUGUUUGGUUGUUGGGUGGAUGACAUGAAUGGGUUGCGAAGUUGGUUGUUUGAUUGUUGGGUGUAUGUGGUAGGUUGAUGGUGUGAGGUUGUUUGUUGGGUUUGGGUGGUUUGACAUUGGUGUUGGACGGAGAUUUGUUGUUGGGUGUACAAUGACGAAACUAGUUGGCAUGGAUCAAUCAAAUAUCGCGGCUCAGACACAAAUUGUUGCGUUGUCACCGACCUAAACCAUGCCAUAUAUUAUUGAGUUGGUCUUGCCAGGGACAGGGAGGUAUAUCAGUAUGGGGGCAUGUGCCCCCACUAAAUUUUUGUAAAAACAAACUUUAAUAAUAUAUAUAUAUAUUAUAUAUAUAUAUAAUAUAUAUUAAUAUAUAUAUAUAUAUAUAUAUAUAUACUAUAUAUAUAUAUAUAUAUAAAAUUUUAUCAAAACAAUAUAUUUAACCAAAAUUAUAUAUAUUAAAUUAAUUAAAAUAAUAAUAUUAUUAUAAAGAUAUUAUUAAAAAUUAGGUAAAAAUAAUAAAAUAUAUAAAUAUUGUCCAAAAGUUAAUGUGAGUUUUUUUAUUUUCAAUAACUAAAUCAAAAUGUGUCAGAUUAAAUAUAUUUGAAUUUUUUUUAUAAUAUCAAAAUAGUUUUUCUCUAAACCUUAAAAAAAAUUGAUUUAUAAGAUUUUAUAUUAAUGUUAUGAUCUCAUAAAAAAUGCAUAAAAAAAUAUUUUUCUUGAUAAUAAAAUUUAGAAAAUUACAAAAUUAAAAAAUUAAAAAAAUUAUUAAAUAUUUUUUUUGAGAUAAAUUUUAUUAAAAAAUAAAUAUAAUAUAUAUUUAUGAUUUAAAAAUAAAUAAAAACAAACUUAUAUAUUAAUAUAUUGCUCCCACAAUUCAAAAUUUCUGGCUCUGUCCCUGGAUCUUGCACCAUGGAUGACUGGUUCGUUUAAGAUGUGUUGCCGUUGAUUCCUCCAUUGACGACACAUCUCUUUUGCAAAGUCUCUCUAGUCAGAAUAAUCCCAUUGGGCAUCAACUCUUUUUUUAUGCCAAAUCUUCAAACACGUCGGAGGUCCUGGAAUUUGUUGUUGCAUGCCGGACUGCAGUCUUACCCGGUCACUUUGGUGCAUUUCCACAAUAAUGAACCGGAUAAUUGGUGUCUUUGUUGUCCAAACUGAAGCAUCGUCAUGGUUAACCUGAUGAUCAAGACCCAGAUAUGGCCUCCAGAUAAACUGUACAAUAAUACGCACGAUUAGAUGAUAAAUAAUUUGAUAAAUAUUUUUAAAUUAAAAUAGAGUUGUGUAGGAUUAUUACAUCAUCUGGUCCAAUAGAUUGCGAUAGACUAUUAUAUCGUGUUUCAGACACUUAUUGUAGUUCAUCCCCCUUACUGACCACCUAGAUAAAAAAAUGAAAAAUAUCAUUUACAGUUAAUUGUAAUGUAAAGUAUAAUUAAUUAAAUGAUAAAGUGUUAAACUUACUUUGUUGCAAACGGGAACAUGAAUGGAUUCUCGUUUACCGGGGCGAGUGACGACAUUCUUGACCAACCUCAUGCUUGUAGCAAAUACGCACAUGAAUAAAACGUACACGUAUUUUUUUUGGCAUUUUUACACAUUGCACUAUAUAGAUGGACCAACACAGCUGAACCCUAACUAUAUAUGCUUACCUUAUUAAUGUUGCGUAACAACGGUAAAUACAUAAUAUUUACUGAAUUAUCUGUACUUUCUAAAAAUAAAAAAUUACCAAAUAAAAUCAUAAUAUAAUACCGAGCUUUAAUUAUUUUUUCGUACUCGGUUGAUUCUUUGGACAAUAUUAUACUCGCAUAGUAUUAUUUAAGAUAUUUUAAAUUUAUACCUUGCCCCCUAGCUUGACCGAAUGACUCUCCCUCAAUUUGGUCGACACACCCGCAUUCGAACCGAAAUGGAUACGGCGAACAAAAUGGUUAGAUUAUGUAGUUCAUGUCAUUAGACAGGUCACAAUCGUACUAACUAUCCUAGUGUUGGAACGAGCACAACCAGAUAAAUUCACAUGUACGUUUGUUGCAAUAUAUGAAAAACUAAAUUUAUUUCAUAUUAUAAGUUUGUAAGGAAAUAUCAUUACAUAAACAUCAACGCAAGCAAUUAAAACAACUACAAUACAAUAAUUAAGCGAUUACAACCAUCAAAACAGUUUUGAACAUGUAAUGCAUCAUCCUAUGAACGUCUUGGUCAGUCUUAAUAUUCAUCCAUUCACGCACUUCUCCAUUUUGGUUGAACGUGGACACAAGCCAUUGGAUUCUUCUAAUCCUUUCAUCAUCCCCAGUUUCUCCAUUUAACCAAAUGUUCAACGUCUGAUUAAGAAGUUUAAAUAAAUCUAUAUUCCAACGCCGAAUCUUUAUCGGAGAUGCAACGACGGAAAAUAUUAAAUCAAUAUUCCGCUUAUGAAUGUAUUCAGACAUGAUUAAAACUCAAAAAUUUGAAGGAGAGUGAAGUUAAAUGAAAGAAAAUAUGGUUGUAGGGUAAGAUUUGUGUGAAAAAUAUUGCAUACAAGGCGAAGUAUUUAUACAAAAGAGAUAGAAAAUGCAUGCGAUAAGAGGCUAGGCACCUGACAUGUCAAGACAUGUAGGCACCAGAGGCAUUGGCACCUCUUCAUGAGCCAAAAUGCAGGCGCCAUAGGCAUUGGCGUCUCUUCAUGAGGCUUCCAAUGCAGGCGCCAGAGGCAUUAGUGCCUCUUCAUGAUGGAAAAUGGAUGCCCCAGUUCAUCUGGCGCAUCUGUUUUAAAAGGUUGUUAUUUUGGGGGAAAAUUGAAAAAAUGGUUAAUUUGGAAUUUAUUUUGAAAAUUAUGGUUAUUUCAAAAAAAAAAUCGGUCUACUUUCUCCCCAUGCGGAUGCAUUUUGCUGUAUUUGUGUUAUCCCAAUACAUGCAGAUUCUUUUUUCCCCCAUCCGAGUCUUUCCAUUGAUUUAUUUUCAUGGAAAUCCCCUCUUGUCUCCAGCAGUUUUUAAGUCGUAGCCUGGCCUACGCAUAACUUUUAUCCCUAGAGUCCCUGUCUCUCCAAUGAGUUUUCCUUAUGGAAUGCAUUGUGCUCCUGUGAACUUUCGAUAUCUCUGAAUUCUUUUCCUUUGUGGCAAUAUCUUCCCCACAAAGAUUAUUUUUGCAUUCAUAUCAUAUGCAUCAUGAGGUCUCUUAGGGACCAAAAUUUGUUUCUUGAUGUUGUUAUUUAAGUCCAUUCUACCGAGUUGAUAUGAAGAUUUUAACUUUCAUAUCCUUAGCUAGAAUUUCCUAAAAUAGGGGCAGAUGUAACACCCUAAUUUUGACCCUAAGAUCCCUCAUAUCAUCUCAUCAUUUGCAUUGGCUUUGGGAUCACACCUUGGUAUUAUCCUCAUCCCUCAUUCAUUGAGUUUGCAUUGGGAGAGAUCACCAAGCAUAUUUGAUUGUAUCAUACUUUACUUUCUUUGUUUACUAACAAAAACAUAAAAAAUAUGCCUAGUAUGGUGUGUGCAUCCACCUGUGCCUUAUCAAGCUCACAUCUAGGGUUUGAGACCCUCAAUGCAAGGGAGUCAAGUUAUCAAAGGUUCACAAUGGUUCUAAGCAUCAUAUAUGGGUCCCCCAUGCUCUUUAAUUGUCAUUUUGAUCAAGAAUUCGUCAAGAGUUUGAAGCUUGUUUGCCUUGGAAGCCUUAAUUCAUCUAGGUAUCUUGUGUGUCUUCCUCAGCAAGUUUCUUUAACAAUUGGUAAAAAAUAUCAAGGGAUACUUCAUUUUACUUUAUCUUAAGCCUAUGUGAUUCUCCAUGAGCCCCAAAGAGCAAAGGAACUUUAAGUUUGCAAGUUUGUUCAAAGAGGUUGACCAGAGAAAGUCAACUAGUCAAAUCUAGGGUUCCCUAAACCCUAUAUCCUACAUUUUUUUCAUAUUAAAAUGAUUCCAAGAUGAAAGUUACUCUUUAUGACAUUCCAAACAACUUUUGUGUUGGCAUCAAGAGUUAAUUUUGCUUGGAAAAUCAUUUUUUAUGGUGAAAGAUUAUAGGUCAUUUUGUAUGUGCCAUAGAUAGAAGGUCAACUUCCAAGAACCAUAACUUGCUCAAUAUUUAUGAUAUUAAUACCAUCCAAGUUUCAUGAUUAAUUUCAAGAUGUCUUCUCCAACUUUUCUUCUUUGAUAAAGUUCAAGUUUCACUUUCAAGGGCGUGUACUAAGAGGAAAUAUUAUAGGUCAUUUUGGGCCAUCAUCAUUGAACAAACAAUUUUCCUCAACUUCUAAAAUACAUAACUCCCUCAUGAAAUAUUCAAAUGGGGUCAAAUUUGUGACCAAAUUUAAUAGUAUUUAAAUAUCUAUAACUUUUAAGAAGGAACCAAAGUCAUUUGAAUCUCAUAGCAAAAGUUAUCCAAGGUGGAAAAAAUGGUCAUUUGACUUUUAACUUAGAAAAUUUUCAACUAUGUUUGAUUCCUCCAACUUCCACAUCAAAAUUCAUCAUGAUCCAAGUUCCAAAUGGACAAAAUUUCAACAUAAAAGUUAUUCCCCUUCAUGCUAGCUUUCCAAAGAGUCCAAGAUCAUGGCAUUUGGAUUAUUUUUUAGGGACUUGCGCAUGGGUGUAAUGCAUGGCCCUAUUUGGAAACAUUUGUGAUCAAUUUUCAACCAACAGUGCAUGGCCUCAUGUAUUGAUUUCAGCAUCACUUGUGCACGAUUUUGGACUCAUCUCAAUCAUUCUUUGGACCUUGUUGCAUGGCUAUGCAACCAUGCACAAGAGUUACUAUUUUUGAUAUAUUUUUGGAAGUGUAUGGAAAUGAAUCUUUAAACCUAUAAAUACAAGUCAUUUUGCUCAGAAUUAAGGACCCUUGGCCCAAGAUUUGAUUUGCAAUCUCUCCCACCCUCCAUUGAUAGAACACCUUCAGGAUUUCUCUUGAAAUCAAGUUUUAAUUCUCCUUCUGUUUUGGGAUUGAAACUCCAAGGGUUAAAGCUUUUUUUGCAUCCAAAUCAUCUCCUGCAAGUUGGUAGAAGCAAGGCAAAGUAAAUUGGAAGAGAGAUCGAGCUUCAUUAGUGCAAACAGAAGGUGAUUUUUAGAAACUUUCCUUCUUCGAUUCUCCCUCAACUCUCCAUCAUUUUACUUGAUUUUUGGUUGGCUGAUACCAAUGUAGGCAACAAGAUUGAGUUGCUUUUAGGUCAAAUCAAAGCAACUCAGUUCAUCCACCUCAUUUUUCAAUUACACAUAUCUCUCUAUAUAGUGAGAAUUGGAAGGAAAAAAAAGGUCAAAUUCGUGUUCUCCGUCAUUUUCUCUUUAAAUUGGUAUAUGGAAUCUCCAAUUUUGGUGAACUUUGGAGGUGGACCAGUCCGGUGAGGUCCAUCGGAGAAGAUGACCGGAGUUAGGGCUCUGGUGCUGCGCUGGAACUUCUCAGGUCAUCUGAUCCUUGCCUUGUGUUCUAAUCUUGGCCAUUGGUUUGAAUUACCAUGUUUGCAACGCGUUUGAGUUGAGUGCAUGGUGGACACCGCGCACGUGGCCAUCAGAUCUGUCACCUCAAUUAACGAGGGAGAUCUGAUGCCCCUUGUUUUUUCUCAUUUAUUUUAAUUUCUGGUUUUAUUUUUAAAUAGCCUUAUUUUGUUUAAUUCAUAAUAAAUUCAUUUUUAAUCGAAAAAAUAUGGGACUUUCACCAAAAAUCUUUAAAUAUUUUCCUUUUCCAUAUUUUGAAUCAAAAUCAUUGUUUGGAUUAAGUUUGAUAUUUUUUGUGAAUUAAAUGUUUUUUGACUUGUUUUUAAAUAUUUUUAAAUACUUCUGACUUUCCAAAAUUCUCAAUUUUUUUGUCUAAAGUCAUUUGAUCUUGUUUGACCUAGGAUAAAUCCAUUGGACAUUUAUUUGGUGAUAUGAAGGGAUUUGAGGUUUUUCCCUUUUUAAAAUGCUUUUUAUUCCAUUUUAAAUUGAUUUUUAAUUGUUUAAAUGUUUAAAAAUAUUGUUGAGCCAUUUGGUUGAUCUUGUGUUGUUUCAUCUUCUAUUUGGCUUUGAUCAUGGUUGAUUUGAACUUCCAUUUGAUUAAUACUAUUGGAUUUAGAGGGUUGAUGAACUGUACACUUCAUCCCUUAAGAUGAAUGGAUAAUAUUGAUUAGAUGAAAUUCCUCCCUUGAUCAAUUUGGGUUUCUAUUUCUCUUUCCCUCUUCAUCUUCAUCCCUCUUCUUCCUCAACCCUUCUAUGACCAAUGAUUUCUCUAUAAAUCAAAUGCUAGUUGAUUCAUCAAUGACCUUGUGUCAGAUGAAUCAACAUGAGCUUGACUGAGAUAGGUUCACCCCAUUUUAUUUUUGUGUGUCGUAUGCUUUUGGAGCUUGGUUCUUUGUACCAUGUCUCUAGCAUGCAUUAACAUCAAUAUAUUUAUUGCCCGGCAUUAGAUAGUUGUGACUUCUACAAAAGUCCAAUUACAACUGCUUAACAUAGAGCUAAAUUUUGACCCAAAGGCAUAGCAUUCUUGUAAGUGAGAUUGUAAGUCUCCCAUUCUUAAUGGCAUUGUGUGAAGACUUGACCUUUUUUCCAUUUAUGAGAGCUAGUGGCAUACUUGUUAAUUUAUCCAAGUUGGAGCUCUUCUCAUAGAUGAUGUCUUGGUUCAUGUCUUCAUACUUGGGAAUGGAUGGUUGGGUGUUCUCCAAAGAAUGACUUAAACAAUUGAAUCCUCCACUAACAUUUCUUUAUCAUUGUUUUAUCUUUAAUGUUAUUUACUUAAUUCAAUUUAAAUUUUAGUACCUUUAUCAUUCAUUGCCACUUACAUUUCAUGCAAGAUGUUUAUGUUUCAAUCAUCUUCAUUUUGCUCACUUGAGUCAUAUCUUUGUAAUUGUAUAUAUUGUGUGCUUGUGAUUUUGUUAUGGUUCUGGUCUUAGGACCUUAAAAUACCUAAUAACAAUAAAAACCCUAAAAAUUGUGUUGAUGGUCUGUUAGCCCUCUUCCUUUGACUUGAUCUGAACUUUUGGACUUAGAGUAGGCAACAUCCCCAUGCUUUGAAGGACUUGGCCAAUGCCAUUAUUUGAGACUGAGUUAUCUUGGCCAAUGCCAUUCAUCUGAGGAAAGCCUUGAGAUUUCCCUUGGUUUAUAUGUUACUCUGUCACUAUGCUUAAAUUGUUAUCUUGAUGUUAUUGUUUUUAUCUGAUGAUUGUUUCUAUGAGUUUGCCACGAGGAAUAUUUCAUCUGAUACAUUUGAAGACACUGAAGACUGCUCGCUUUUGGAAUGCUUGCUUGGAUUUUGUCUAUCUUUAUUUGAUGCCUUUUAUCUUCAUACUUAUUGAUCACAUGUUGCCUAUGCUUAUUGAUGCCAAAGGAAAUGGGUUUCUAUCUGACAUUCUUGUCUUGUGGAUUGCAUCUCAUUGGUCAGAUCUUUUCAACUCUAAACUUUUAAAUUUUUGUCUAGGAUAGUCUCUUCAUCUCCUUCUUUCCUUCUUAAAUUUUAAAAUCUCUCCCUCAUUUUAAAAACCGUCUUCGUUUGUGUUCUCAACUUAGACUUGUUUUAAUGAGUAGAAACUUUUUGCCUUAUGCCAUUGAUUUUCAAAACAUUUUCUUAAUCAAACUUGUAAAUAAACUUAAUCAUAUUGACUUAACUUUCAAAAAGACAAAAAGAACUAACAACUUCAUUUAAGUCUUUGGCCAUUUUGUGUCCUUUUCUUUUAAACUUUUGUUAAAAUUAAUCCACCAAUUUCUUUGAAAUUUUUACCACAAACUACGGGGUUUUGAUCCCUCAUUUUUAUGUUAGUACGUAGGCAUAAGACCGAAGGUCUUGUCAAACACAAAGGUAUAAUAAAUGAAUUCUUUUCUCAUCCCCCCAAUCUAUAUUUUAGCAAACAUUUUUUCAACCAAAAUACUUGCAUACAAAAAGGGCUCUCUAGGAGUACCUAGGGUACUUUGGAUGCUCAUACCUUCCCUCUAUAUAACCAACCCCCUUACUUGUAAUCUCUUACAUUUUUAUAGUUUUGAUCUGAAAACUUCUUAUCUUUAGGUUUUGUUCGUACUUUUCCCUUUUCCUUUGGAAACAAUAAAAGCGCGGUGGCGACUCUGAUUUUUUUGAGGUUGAGUUAUCCGUAGCUCAAUGGUCACGAAUACACCGCUAUACAAAGGUCUCAUCAAAAUCAACCCCUUCAAUUUGAGUGUAGCCUUGAUCAAUAAGCCUAGCCUUGUUUCGGGUCACAAUUCCAUUUUCAUCAGAUUUGUUCUUGUAAAUCCAUUUUGUGCCAAUAACGUUCAUCCCUUCAGACCUAGGAAAUAGGUCUCACACUUCAUUCCUUUUGAACUACCCUAGUUCUUCUUUCAUAGCAUUAAUCCAUAAUUCAUCAUUCAAGGCCUCCUUCACAUUUUUAGGUUCAAACUUUGAGACAAAACAAGCAUUGGACAUCACAUCUCUGGAUCUAGUGGUGAUCCCUUCAUUAAGAUUUCCAAUAAUAUGUUCCUUUGGAUGAUCUUUUUGAAUUCUGAUAGAGGCAACUUUGUUGGCUUGAGGGUUAUCUAAUUCAUUCAUUGUUGGCUCAAUGUUGGACUCAAUGUCUUCCAUAUUUUCUGAAGCAUUAGUUUGUUGAGAUGAUGUUCCAACAUCUUCAUUGAGAUCAGUCCCUUUCGCAAUAAUUGAAUAUCAACCACAACAUUGAUGGAUUCCAUCAUGACCUUGGUUCUGGAGUUAAAUAGUGUGUAAGCUAUGUUGUUUGUAUAGUAACCAAGAAAUAUCCCUUCAUCACUUUUGGAAUCCAUCUUUAUCCUUUGUUCACGAUCAACCAGAAUGUAGCAUUUACUCUCAAACACAUGAAAAUAUUUAACAAUAUGUUUCCUCCUUUCCAUAAUUUAUAGAGAGUGGAUGAUGUACCAGCUCUCAGAGUAACAUGAUUGUGGAUAUAGCAAGCAGUGUUCAUUGCUUCAGCCCUAAAAUUAUAAGGAAGAUUUUUUGCGUGAAGCAUGACUCUAGCUGAUUCUUGUAAUGUUUUGGUCUUGCGUUAUACAACUCCAUUUUGUUGAGGAAUGAUGGGAGAUGAGAACUCGUGACCAAUAACUUCAGAAGAACAAAAUUCAGACUCCUUGACAUGGUCACUUCCAAAGGUCUUUGAAUACCCCAAAAGUGACUGGUUUUUCUUUGAUAAAUUCACCUAAGUCAACCUUGAAAAAUCAUCGACAACCACAUACACAUACCUAUUUCCACCAAGACUUUCAACUAGCAUAAGCCCCCAUUAAGUCCAUAUGAAGAAGUUAUAAAACUUUUGAAGUAGUCUGAUGUUGCAACUUCGGGUGUGACAUCUUGGUUUGCUUCCCAAUUUGACACUCACCACAGACUUUACCCUCCUCAAUUUUGAGUUUUGGUAGAUCUCUAAUAGCUUCUUCAGACAUAAUUUUCUUCAUACCUUUGAGAUUCAUAUGUCCAAGCUUCUGGUGCCACAACUUGACUUCAUCUUCCCUAGACAUUAAACAUGUGGAAGAAGAAGUAGUUUCUUGAGGUACCCAUAAAUAGCAGUUGUCUUUAGGCCUAACUCCCCUCAUCAGAACUUCAUUUUUCUCAUUGGUAACCAAAUAUUUUGACUUGGUAAAAUUUACUUUUAGACCUUGAUCACCUAACUGGAUAAUGUUGAUCAAAUUAGCAGUUAAUCCUUUUACAAGAAGAAUAUCAUCAAGUCUAGGAAGUCCAAUACACACUAAAUUUCCUAUCCCUUUAAUUUCACAUUUACCUCCAUCACCAAAAGUAACAAAAUUGGUGGAAUAAGACUUAAUGUCCACUAAAUACUUCUUGACUCCUGUCAUAUGUCUAGAACAUCCAUUGUCAAAGUACCUGUCUUCGCUAGAUGAAGCUUUAAAAGAAGUGUGGGCUAUAAGACAAGUAUCAACAACCUUAGGUUUCCACUCCUUUCUAGUUUUAAUCAUCACAUGAUUAGCCAUAGGAUAUGUUGUAUGUUUUGGAUAACCAUAUAGUCUGUAACAUAAAGGCUUUAUAUGUCCAUAUUUACCACAGCAAUGACAUUUCCAAGGCAAAAACUUGACUUUAGUUUGAUUUUACUUAUGUCUGGUAGGAUGUUGUAACAUUUGGUCGGACAUCAUGGGCUCAUACUUCCUUUCUGGAGGAAUAAAUUUUGUCAUAAAGGUUUUUCCUUUCAGAUAUUGGUAAUCAAAACAUAUACCUUUUAAGUUUCCAUCACCUUUUCUAACUUGAAGAAUUUCAUGUAACAUAUCAGACCCAUUAUUCAACAUUUUUACUAAUUUGGUCAUAAUGUUAUCAAGUUUAGAAUUCAAUAGAGUUACCUCAUUUUCAAGAUCAGUGACAGUAGAUAAAAGUUUCUCUUCCGCUCUUCUCAUGUCUUACACACCUCUUCACUUCUGACAUAAAGCUCUUUGUAGGAAGCAGCCAAUUCUUCAUAAGUGAUAUCCUUAUCAUAGAAGUUUUCAUCAGGUUCAUAUUUACCAGUGAAGGCUGUAACAUGCUUAGCAGUUUCAUCAUCAGUUUCACCUUCAGAAUCAUCAUCAGACCAAGAAACAAAUAAGCUCUUCUUUUGUUUCUUGAGAUAUGUGGGACAUUAUGAUCUAAUGAGACCAAAACCCUCACAUCCAUGACACUAAAUAACUUUUCCUUGAUUGGGCUUUUCCUCUAUUCUUGCUUUUCUCUGAGAAUCACGGUUCUUAUUGAUGUCAAAUUGCAUCUUCUUGACAUUAGGUCUUGACUUCCUAUCCAUUUUCUUCAAUCCCUUAUUAAUUGCCUCCCAAGAAGCAUAGUGGAAUUAUAAAUUCCUUCAUCGGUCUCCAAGUCACAUUGAUCCUCUUCAUCCUCGGUGUUGGAGAAAAAAGUUAUGCUUUUGUUCUUCUUUUCAGAUCUAUCACUGAUAGCCAAUUCAAAAGUUUGAAGUGACCCAAUAAGCUCAUCCACUCUCAUGUUGCAAAUGUCUUGGGCUUCUUCAAUAGCUGUGACCUUUAUGCCAAACUUCUUAGGCAACGAUCUGAGAAUUUUUCUAACCAGCUUAUCCUUUGACAUCUUCUCUCCCAAGGCACUAGAUGAAUCGCCAAUGUCAAGAAUAUUCAUGUGAAAAUCAUGAAUGCACUCGUCAUCUUUCAUCCUGAGAUUUUCAAAUUUGUUAUCCGUAGAUUUUAGAAAAGUCACCAUACGCACCUUCUAGUAAUCAUAGUUGGUGUCAUCCAGAAUAGAUGGGUUGUUAACAAAUCCUUUUUCCUUGUCCAUAGUAACAGAAAAUAUCUUCCCUGGAGCUCACCCGAAACAAAACAAGGUGCAUGCUCUGAUGUAAAUUGAAAUUUUGGGACACAGAUAACAAAUGUCGUAUAUGAUGUCACGACACUAAGAUCAGGACAUUGUCACAACACAAACAAUUACAGUGUUAAAGUAAAUAGUAGGAAGUAAAUACCACAUGUCAAUUGUUAACCUAGUUCGUUGCAACGUCACCUGCAUCUGGGGGCAUCCAAGACAGGAAGGAAAUCCACUAUAAUAGUAUUAGUUUGAAGUUCUAAACAACCUCUGGUUGUACAAACUUCUCACCUAAUCACUACCCUUGGAAUUUCUAUCUAAGACUCCUAGAUAUGAGACCUUUUUCACUUCCCUUCGAUCACACAACAGUGAUAAUAACUUCCAAUAAUAAACAGAAGACACAUAUCCAAUAAAACAUAAUACACUCUUGCUUAAAAGCUCAUGAGUGAUUCACAAUUACAACUCAAAAACUCAAUCAAAUUCAAGCAUCUAAGUGAUACGAGAAUGACUCACAAAUAACAAUGAAAAAACUAAACCAUAACAGAGACUAUCACAUACGCAACUUAGUUGUUUUCUUAGGUUUAUAAUCGUCCUAUAAAUAGCCCCAAAAUAGCAUGGGCUCCGGGCUAAAUAAUCAGCAGAUCUAAAUUAGACUGUUGCACAAUCUUCUACAUAAUGAAAUCAAAUCAAAUCAAAUCGGAUGUCUCCUUAGAUGUUUUGUCAUCCUUUCUUGGGAAACAAGGCAAAGGUUAAACCGACAUUUGCUUCUAAAAUAAAUGCUUCUUGGACCACAAAAUAAGUGAAUCAAAUCUUCAAAGAAUCUUCACUAAUCUCAUGCUAAAAAAACAAAUCUUUCAAGAAUGUACAAACACAGCACGCCACGAUAUCGUACAAGUAUGUCAAGACAUCUUGUCCAACAUCUUGCUAUUUUACUUGUUUUAACAAAAUAUUGCCAAUCACAAUACAAACAACCUAAUAGACUUCAUAGAGUGUAUGCUAUAAGAGCAUACCUCUUAAAUUUGGUUGGCAUUGUGAUUUUUGUGGACAAGAGUGCCACUUGUGUGGAUGCCGUCUAUUUAUGAUACUUCGAGGAUUUUGAGGGGGUUCAUGAGUACAAUUGAGGGAUCAUUUGUUUAGUGUACUUAUAUUAUAAGUUAUCUGAAGGUUGAAGGUGGAAGAUAAAGCAAGUGACAAGCAGCAUCGCACUUUUGAAGGUAAUAUUUUUUUGUUUUUUAGUGUUUGUGUAUCAUUUUCAUUACAUUUUUACAACGCCCUUACUGAUGAUUCGUCUGUUCCAACAAUUUCCAGGCUUGGAUCCUCUAGCACGUCCCACGCAUCUCGGUUGGUUCUGUGUACCGACAUAUACUAAGGAUAUGUCGUGUGCGUCUACAUUUGCUCUGCUCAUAGGGAACUAGGAGAUAGAGUCGUUUCGAGGGUAUCUUGAUCACUUUGUAGCUAAGGAUAUGCACGUUAACAACUAUGUGAAUCACCGCGAGACGCAACCAUUUAACAACAUAGUGUUAUACUCUGGAUGGUUGACUUGCGGUUCACGUCUGACAUUUCCUCAUCUGCCUGAGUGCGUCAUGCGACAAUUCGGCUACAUCCACACUAUUCCUAGACACUCUUUUGUCUUUAUUCCUUCUGUUAUAACACAUAAAGAUAUGGAUGUCAUAUUUGAUUAUUAUCUUAGUCAUCUGAUACUGUAGGAGGCAUUAAGUACCAUAGCUGAGAGCGAUGUGGACGGGUACAUCAAUUGAUUCUUCAGAAUGUCGCGUUCAUAUAUGAUGCAGGUUGUUCCAGAAAAUCCACUGAGGUCAGCUCAUCAGAAGGUACUAGAGGAGGAGCAGGCAUAGUUAGAUCAUAUUCAUGAUAGAUGUCAUCACAUUGUGGAGAUUGCGCAGGAAUACAUUGACAGAUGUAUCUUUCCUUAUGGUUUUGAGAUGAAAGAGGUCCUAGAUGUCAUUAUGACGAAGGCACGAGAGACACUGAUGUACCGGAGACUGACAGUCGAAGAUCCCGAAGAGCUCUAGUCUAGCAUAUACUAUAGUUGAUAGUCCUUAUACUUUGAAUUUACUAUCGAUUGUAUUUUAUUUCGACUUUAUUGUGUAUUUCGACUUCAUUGUGUAUCGGCUUAGGACUUAUUUUGACCAUCUGGAUUUAUAAAUCUCAUUUUUUACAUAUCGAUAAUAUGGUUUAAUAUUCAUCACAUAACAGAUACCUUAACAUUUAUAAAUCAUCAUUUUUAUCUGAGUAACCAUAAAACUAAUUUAACUUACAAUGUUUUAAUAGGUUAUUGAGAUGCAUCACCGAAUCAAUAAAUAUUUAAAAUAGACCUUUUAAAAAUGAAUGCAUGGAAUAUUUUAAAACAUUUUAGAAAUGCAUCUAUAAAUAUUUUAACUUAAGAUAAUAUACUUCAUCCGUCUCAUAUUAUAAUAUAGAUCACCUGUCUCAUAUAUUAUAAUAUAGAUCAGAUACAUUAAUUAUUUAAUUAAUCUAAAAAAUAAAAUUUUCAUGAAAAUAUUUUACAACAUUUUAGAGAUGCAUCUAUAAACAUUUUGACUUAAGAUAACAUACUCCCUCCAUCUCAUAUUAUAAUAUAGAUCAGAAAAAAUAAAAUUUGCUAUAAUAUGGAAUAGAGGGAAUAUGUAUAGAAUAUUCAUCACAAAUUCCAUCUUAAAAUCUCUUCUUUACAAUAGCAACAGAUAAAAAAAUAUAUUUUAUAUAUACAAAAAAAUUAAUCUAUUAUUAAUUUAUUUGUAAAAUCGAAUACCGGGCAUAUCCUAUUUUCUCUAGUUAUAUUUUAUUCAUCCAAGUCCAUUAAUUAUAUUAUUUGGACGAAAUGUAUCCAUUUUUAUUUUUUAAAGUGGCAAUCGCACCAUGUCAUAUUACAUCUUAAAUUAUAUAUUUACCAAGAUCCUUAAAAAUUUCGACAGUAAACAAAUUGAGAAAAGAAUUAAAAGUACAAAUAAAAUCUAAUCACAUUGCCUGCAUUCUUGAUAAACUAUCUUUCGAAUUAACUGGCACCGCAAUAAUGCAUCAUCAAAUACACGUUAGAAAAAUGCUCAUAAAUUGACAGAUUAAAAAGAAAGAAUAAUUUAAAAUAAUUCCUACUACACUUUAACUAUUUCAAAAGUAAGAUAGGUAAGCACUGUUCACACACCGAAAGAAAUGAGAAAAACAUCAUUAAGGUCCUCACUCUUCCCUAUAAUCUGGAUUGUCCUUCAAUAUUACAAACCCUUCAAGAAUUGGCGAUAUGGGAAUAUAUCUGCAGAAAAACAACUGUUAGUAUGAAAAAGACAAGAAAGCUUGCUCUAAAAUUUUAUAAGGUAGUAGAAGAAUUACUUUUCUGUGGCUAGCUCUGCCCUAUCCCCAGCAGCCAAUAGAACAGGGGUGGAAUGGGUCUGAAAUCCAGUUAUCGUCUUAGGACGACCUGCCUGUCCAACAACGUCCACUGCUUGACCAACCCGAACAGGCACUGAAAGAGGCUUUAAGCUCUCAUCCACAGUUAACAACAUCCUCGGCUGUUGCAACAGAAUAUAAUUAAAACCAGCUUCAAAUGGGGGAAGAGAUAGAGGAAAUGAGACUCAAACAAACCUGCAUUGCCAAAACGAGGAAGUAGAGAACAUAGUGAUAUUUUCCCAACACAAUAGCUUUCAUAUCAAGGCAAGCAUGCAACAUAGUAAUUAGUCCGGCAAGUGCUGUCCUGUAAAAAUUGAAAGGCAAGUAAUGUCAAAUACAAAUAUUACAAUGAAACAUGUCAUUUGAAGUCACGACGUAAAUUAGGUUGCUGCUACAUGACAAAAAGGUUUUACUUAAGAGACAACAGAAGAUGGGAAAACUUACGGUGACAGUAAAGCCCGGUCAGAAUGAUAAGGAUUAAGUGUAAGAAGUCCCUUUCCCAAAUGUACAAGACCUUGGGCAAUUCGCACCUGUAGGGCAGAAAAGAAAAUCAGAGAUCAUUAAAACAACCAGAAUUAUAAAAUAAGGACAGCUAGCUUAUAGAUGAAACAUACACAAAAUAGAAGGCUGGUAUCCUUGUAGUAAUAGCUUGAAAGAUUGCGUAGCAUGCCAGCAAUUCGAGCAUUGUUUGUUCCGGCGCCUAUUAGACCCAAGGAGAUAACAGCUGCCUGUAGCAUACAAAAAAAUUUCUCAAAAAAAAUAAGAAUCAUAUCAUAGACAGCAAUGAUUUAAGAGGCUUUACCAUCUUACCAUUGCUACUUCUGAAUCAGUAUCAUGGCUAAGUCUGCUUAAGGUAUCCAUAACAUUGACCUGUAACAAUCAAUAAAAGAGUUAGCAAUCAGCAAAGUAAACAAACAUGAAACCUUGCUUAAGAUUGCAACCAGAGUUAGCAGUAUCGCGACAAAAACACACAAGUUAAAGUCUCAAAGUCAUGUUGGCUUGCUGACUCGGCAGUAAACUCGGUAAACUCAUCCGAGUUCAAGAAGCGAGUCGUUUCACUUUUCCAGCGGCGGCGUUUCAGUUUUCAAGAUGCUUUUUUCUAUAAAUAAACCCUAGUUAGGUGAAAACGGGUCUGGGUCGGGUCAUUUAAUAUUAAAUGCUGAUUUAUUAUAAUUUUUACAAAAUAGGAAUGUGUAAAGACACAUCAAACUUUCUCUUUUUCAAGAAAAAUGCAUAGUAUCAUAUCAUUGGAAUGGAAUAAACCAACCGUUACUGAAUUACUGCAACAUAAAUUCUUUCUCCCAUUACUUCUUCAUCGUAAACAUUCAAGCUUCCUCUUUCUCACUAACAAAUUAUUUAAACAGAAUCACUUCCUCUUUUCUCUUUCACAUUCAAGCUUCUUCUUCUUCCUCUUUUUCUAUGUUUUUUUUUUAUGAAUUUAUGGUAAUUAUCAUGAACUUAUGAAUUUAUGGUUAUGAAUGUGAACUUAUUUUGUAUUAUAUAGUAUGAUUUUUUAGAAUGUGUAUGUAAUUAUACAUACAAAAAUAUAUUUUCCACCAAUAGUAGGAUCUUACAAUCCGUGCUACGAUCCUCUACCAAUUCUGCGUAAACUCUUGAGUUUUUAAACAUUGAUUGCAACAGUUGUUUACCAUCUGUCAUCUUUUCAGAACAUGGUCAUAAUGUGCUCAACACUGAUAAAUAAUGAUACUAAGGUGAUAAAUAGUAGGUAGGCAAAUCUAUUUUACCUUUGGAUUUGAUAUGCACAACAGACCAAGUGCCAGAGGAACUGCUCGGCGAAUAUUCUGCUCUCCAUACUGUAGAAGAUGUUCUAACGAUCGAAUAGCCAUCUCAACACCUAAUUCUUCAGCCAUUGCUACCAUAGCAAUUCCAAGAACUGCCGGACCUUGGUGCAUUUCACCUUUGUCAAGAUGUUGUGAACAAUGACCCAAAAGAUUUUGCACCUGCAUGAAAUAAGCACCGGCAAUUAUAAACAUUAAAGGCUGCAGCAGAAAUCUUUUCAUUAAAAGGUUAAGUAUAUUAUAAGAGUAUACCUUGAGAACAUUCCCAGUUCCAGCAUAGGCACAUGACAGUAGUGUCAUGUCACAAUACUUCCUAAUUUUUUCAUUAAAAGUCUUUGAAACUUCAGCAGUUGCCUCCACAUUUUCCUGUUACAGAGCACAAUAUGGAGUAAAUAUUACAUGAGUGACUUUGACCCAACCUAAUAGAAAAACCCCUCCAACUAUUCAACGUUCUCAGAAACUAAAGAAAUAAGAUUACAAAUGCUUUGCAAAUGUAGAUAAGGCAAUCUAUAACACAUCUACAAAGGUCCAACUUUGACUUGGACCUUGCAUGGUGAGUUUUGUAGAACCAGGGUUCCUUUUAAAUGAACUAAAAAGACAAAAGGACAACAAAAGAGGCAAUUGAAACUGUCAAUCGAGAAAUACCUGCUUCCCAAGAUAAAGAAGACCAAGGCCGAGUGGUAGUAGUCGUGUAAGGGGCUCUCCUAACUCUGACUCACUCCGGUCCAUCAAUGUAAAUAUGAUUGCUUGAGCAACUUCCUCAUUGCAAGAACCCACAUAGAUCAAGCCCAAUGCAAUUGCCGUGAAAGCAAUCACAUCAAGUGAAGCUUUAGGAUCACUCAGAAUAGGUGCCAACUUGUAUCGUAGCUGAAAGAAGCAAUCAGUCGAAUUAUAUUAGCAAAUAAAAAGGAGCACGCAUCUCAACAAGGAGUAUUACUGACAGAAACUACUCACCUGCUCAUUCUGGGAACCUGCAUAUGCAAUUCCUAAUCCCAUAAUUGCACCAAUUCUGGUCGAACUAUCUUCUUUAUCUAUAUAAUCACCAAGGAGUGCCAUUGCCUACAAAGGAAUCAAAUAAGGUCAAACACAGAAAAUUAAAAUAUGCACAUCAUACUGAAAAGGAAAAAAUAAAAGGAGCUCACAGGAUCACAGUCAUUCUUGAUACUACAAUUGACAAUUCCAACUCCCAGUAAUGCACCAGCGAUGACAUGGUUAUCAUUACUGUGGAAGUAUUUGUCAAGUUGUGCAAGUCCAGAGUCAACAUCCCAGAGUAAAAUCAUACCCUGUUACAAUACAAGGGACAAUAUAAGCAUAGAAAAUGAUAUUAAUGAGAUCCAUAAAUCAGAAAUUAAAAGAAUAAUGAUGAUUCAGUAAGAAAGUCAUACCAGACUUGCUGCAGCACUAGUCUUCCCAUGUUCCUUGUUUUUGAAAAGCCAAUUUCCAGAAGAACCACUACUUGAAGAAUCUGAUGCAACGGUCAUUAACUUAUCCUGCACAACAUAAAUACAAAUAUCGAAUCACAACAUAUGCAACAUAAAUUUUCUUGAAAUAUAAAGAAGGUUUACUGUACCUGACCAAACCCAGCAUUAACAAAAGCAUUAACAAAAGUAGCAGCAAGGUUCUGUCUAGCUGAGUCAACACUCGCACCAGCACUUGCACGACCAUCAAGCAAAUGUGCCUAGGAGAAAACAAAUAAGAAUAAAAUGUGAGGAUAACAGCAAAUCAACAAUGUGACACACUGCAACAACAACAACCAAGCCUUAUCCCACUAAGUGGGGUCGGCUACACGGAUCAAAUUUUGUCAUAAUGUUCUAUCCAAGACCAUGUAAAACAAUGCGACACACUAGAGAUAAAAAUAGCAUAGCUAAACACAAUGUUUUUCUGAUACCAUUGAACAUGAGCACAACCAUAGAUUAAAUUCCAGCCUCUACACUAGCUUCAUGUAGCCUUGUAAAUUAAGUAUAUACAAUUGUAAUCAAUAAAAGGCAAUGUGUUAGGAAAAGCAGGGCUGCUUUAGUAAGGAGAGGAUGCAUGCCUCUACAAAGAAUUAGAGCCCGGAACCUUAUUAACCAAACUUAAAAUCCGAACAAAGAAAAACAAUAAUACAGAAAGUAGAAACAAAAAGUCCUGAUUCUUUAAAUUUCAAAUAAUGGUAUUUGCAUCAAUUAUGACAAGAACAUAAGUAUAAGCUCUUCCAUUUAUUAAUCAAGGCUAUCUUAUAGCAAAGCAACAAAUUUUAAUAAGAGAAUCAAGUGCAUCAAAAAGUAUUAUUUCAUUUAUGGUUAAUAAAUAAAAGUUCAUUUUGUGAAAAAUUGUAAGUAAUGAAUACAACAAUUUAGUAGCAACUGGCAAACCAAAUAAAAAAUGAAAAUAAAGCAGUUCUGUGGCAAGCCUGUCUGUCUAUGCUUAUACUUUAAUUUAUGGAUGUCUUAUAAUAACUAAAUAGUUUUUCAACCAAAAAAAGUCAUUUUGACUUAAGCAAACGGGUCCUAAAUUCAACAAACACAUGACAAAUCAGAGUCAACUGGGUCCCAAAUCACAUGCAAUUUUCAAUAGAAACUCUUAGAAAUGACAUGCAGCCAUAUGCCGUCCGCAAAACUAAUACAUGCAUACCAAAUAAAAAAAUAUGGUUCACUUAUCUAUCCUUUUGCCAAACUAAAUUGUCUUAACCCUAGGGUUUGCAGGGGAAAAAGAACUCUAGUAAUCCAGCUUUCAUUGUAGGUAAGUAACUUCUGGCCAAUACUUGUUCUAGCCAAGGAUCAAACUCGGGUACUCCCUAUAAUUCAACCUCAACUGAAACUCGUUAAAUAUACUUAAACUCAAGCACUUGGUUUCCUUUGAUCAAAUUGAACCAUAUUUUAAUCAAUAAAAACUUAAAUCUCAGAGCAUUAGAUGUAAGAACUUCACACGAACAGGGAGUCAUAUGUAGUCAAGUGUUCAUUACAGUAAGAGUAAAUUUAACAUCAGAAACACACCUUGUAUAUAUCUUCAGGGGACUUGGGCUCCAUGACUUCAAUAUCACGAGCAAGAGUCAGAUAUCCUUCACUUAACUUAGAAUUAUUUAUGAUAUCCUGCAACACUUCUCGGUCUUCAUCAUCAUUAACCAUUUCCUCGUCAAGCUCAAAAGUGAUUCCCUGAAUGCAUCACAAAAACCGUCAAAAAUGAGUCCCAAAUAUAAUUUAGAGUGGAAUUUUAAGUCUCUCUGACACCCUUUAGCUUUGCCAUUGCCAACAUAUAGCUAGAGUUGAGCAUAUUAAUUACAAGUAAAAACUGACAUGCAACAGUUACAUAUAUUAUGACAGGCAAGGAAACUACGACUAAAAAAUGUUCAAAUACUAACACAAAAUCCAGGACUUACAUGGCGUGCAAGUAUAUAACAAAACUGCUUCUUUCGCAGCACAUCAGCACAAGAGGUGAACACCUGCCUCACAUACUGUUAACACUGCAGCUAGUUAGUUUCAAACCACAAGUUUUAAGGAACGCAUUUUAGAAAAAUCGGUUUUUUACAGUUUACAGUAUAUGGAUAAUCAAUAAAGAGAAAAUCAAUCACAAUAAUUAAAGAAUUCCAGUGUCACACCUGCAGGUUAUCUAGGAACAAUGCGAUUUGAAGUGCAUUUGGAUAUUCUUCAAAUUUUAGAUAGAUUAAAUAUGCAAUGUCCAAAACUAGCAUAUCAUCUGGUCCAGGAAGAUACCUGUAAAAUUCAAAAAAGAAAUUGCUAAUCUGUCAGUAAUUUUACCCAAAAAAGAAACAGACAAGACCUCAUUGUCAUGCAAAUUGACGCUUACAACUCAAAAUAGAUCCAGAGCCAAGCCAAUGGCUAUAUAUCAAACAAAACUUUAAACUAUCCUCCCCAGUUGCAUGCGAAACUCCAUCUAAUAAACCUUUAUUAAUAUAUAAACAGCCACUUUUUAAAUGCUUUCCAAUACAGAAUUAAUUAUCUUCAGAGCCAAGGGAAUGGCUACAGAAACACGCCAUUUCAGUAUAUUCUGUUACAUGAACAAAUACCUUCCAAUCCUUAGUGUUAUUAUAUCUGAAAAUACCUUAUUGUACCAUUUGUAUCUGAGAGUGUCUUGAAUUAUCUCAUAGAAUAGAAAUAGGUUUUUAUUACUGGUUAUCAUCUUGAUUAACUUCUCUAUUCAACUAGGAUUAGGAGUCUUGUAUCCCUACAAUAGGGAUUAGUGCUUAACAUUUCAGCACCAAUAGAUCAUCAUCACAACCUUAAUCAUAUUUUGAAAUCUCCAUUCUUUCUCUCACUAAAACCCUAUGACUUCAAUAGUUGGUAUACUCACAGACACCCAGAACAAUAAUAAAUGGUCCAAGUAUCACCAAAUCACUUUAUCACUUUGUUGUGUCCGCGAUGAUAACCAAUGACAUCACUUAACAAUUAAAUUAUGAAAAUUCAAACAAAAUUACAGAUAUUGACAUAGAAUUAGAUAGAUAUUGCCAUACAUAAGGGAAACCAAAGAAAUGGGUGUUCGAGUUUGUGAAACAAAAAAUCUUUGAACCACAAGACACAAAAGUUCAACCUUUAUGAUAAACUAUUAUUUUCUCUUUCUUCAUAACUGUUCUGAAGUUAAUUGAUUCCCUUAAAAUAUAACAUGAGGUCUGACUUACCUAGCUGAACUUGUGAGAUACAGGCAAGUCCUUCUAAAAUUUGCUUUGUCAACAUGCUCGAUCAACAUAUCCAGGUCUUCAACCUAACAAUAAACAUUCAUUACAUGAAAAUGUCAUUCAGAUCACUAUCUGAAUAGGUCUGGAACGACCAAAAAAGGAUGUGAGAUAUUACCUCCAUCAAAAGAUCAACAGCUUCUGGUUCAGCAUUAUGCUGCAGAAAAUUAAAAUUGGUCAAGAAACAAUUAUUAGCAAUCAUCAUGUAACACAUCUUGGUGCGUCAAUAUUCUAUAUAAACAUUAUUUAGUAAAAUGAAUGCUAUAGAUGAUACCUUCAUGUGAAAAGCAACUAUUUGCUGUACAAGUUCCAUGAGAUCAUCAAUUGGAGCCUCUUCACUCUGUCAAUACAAAGUUAGAAAACAAUUACCUAUAAGCAUAACACUUAAGUAAAUUUGCAAUAGUUAACAUUACUAAAAAAAAGUACAGAAAAUACUGCAGUGAGGGCAUGUAAAUUAGCUAGAUGCCUAACCUGUCGUUUUGCAUAUUCUUGUGCAAUUUCUCCAGCCAAAUUUCUGACAUCAAAAGAAAACAUAAGAUUGAAAUUGACGAUAUAAUCAACUCUUUUCAGUCAAAACUCCGUCACCAAAAUUUAACUAGUGAUCAGUUGUUUAUAACAACAGUUCAUCUUCAACAGUAUAAAGCACAGACACAACACAAAGAAGAAUAAAAUAAUUCUCACCUAACAUAUUCAUGUCCCCAUGAACCAAUAUCGCCCUCUGAACCUAGUAAUCUGUAUUUGAGACUUUCCUGACAGAUUCAAUGGAAACGGUCAAUAUAACAGCUAGAUGAAAACUGUUGUGGAAUGGUUUCAAAAGAAAAAGAUUGGCUACCAGAAGAACCCAGUGGAGUGUUAGAUUUAGAGGUUUAAAGAAGAAGGAGAUAGAAAGGAAAAAAAGAAAAACAUAAUAUGGGUGAUGCAACUGGAAAGGAAAAGAGAGAAUGUGUAGGAAAACGGACUAUGGGAAAAUCAGGUUUGAGUAUUAAAAAUGUCUUUAUGAAGGUACACCCCCAAACUUUAACACAAUCAAGGCAAUAGCCUAAAAAUUUAUUCAGUUUCUAAAUACAGCAAACUCACUCGUUCUCCUUCUGCAGACAUUGUAAGGGCCAAAACUGACAAUAUGUCUGCCAAGUACUUCUGCAAUAAGGAAAUAAAAACCAGUUAAGCAGCAUAAUACCAUACUGUUACUCCAAUGUCAUUCCUAAAACACACAAAUAGCAAUACCUUCAACUCUGAUUCCGCCAUAGUUUCAUAAUAUGUCUUAAGAGUGCCAUAAUGUGGGCGCAGAAACUUCAGUGGCUUGGGAACUGAGGUCAUGGAGCUGGUUGAAGUACGAAUUUCUUGUCUACAAUACAACCAUAGAUUCCAAUUUCAACACACAAACACACAAUUUAAAAAAAAAAUAAGUCAAUUCCCACUCUAAUCAACAUCCGUUCACUUAAUCACUUAAAGUGAACCCUCAACUAUAAAAUUAGGUUUACCUCAUGCUCUCAAGUGCAACCUUCUGCAAUCCAGGCUCGGAAUCCUGAACCCUCUCAACAUACAACUCGAGUUGUUGCUUCAGAGCCAAAUCCUCAUCUGACUGCACGGAUUACCACAAAAACAAUUGAAUUUGUUUACCUCAAGCGAGCUUAAUAGACACGCGAACCGUUAAAUAAGUAGUGGAACAACAACAAAAAUCGAAUCCAGGCUGUUCGACUUACCAGAUCUUCACUCUCGAUCUUCUUCUUUGCCGCUGCUUCGUCUUUGGCGGUUCCACUUGUGCUGGCGCCGGUACCGGCACGAUUAGCAUCGGGAGCCAUCGGAGAAUGAGGAGUGGGAAACCCUAAAGUGGAGUUAACGUGAAAUUAAAAGGGGAUUGAACUACGAAAUAGAAGAAGUGAAAAUCUCGCGAAUUGAGUUUUGGUGGUGACUGCUAAAGUGAAAAAACGUGGGACCUUGGAGAAUUUAGAAGAGGGAGGUUUCUUGUUGCCGAGGAUUUGUUAUUUUUUCAAUGGGCUACUAUUUAUAAAUAAGGCCCAAUAGCUUGGGUUUUUGGGCUCCUAGGUUAACUUUAAAAAAAAAUGGGGAAUGCUCUUUUUAUCCUUAGGGAUGCGCCCUACACUGAAAAUUUAAAAAUGUUUUUCAUUUAUUCAGAGAUGAAUCUUCCGAUGCAUCCAAAAUCACAUUAGUCCUCAUCUUUCUGAGAUCCACUCCAUUUUAAAUAAAAUAUUGUAUGAAGAUACAUCUUUGUAUAUUAUUUAGGUGUAUUCGGAUAUGCAUCCGUGAAAUACAUCAUGUACUAAUUUAUGAUGUUUUUAUUCACUUAGUCGAUUUAAUUAACAACUCGGUGAAGUUUCCGGAUAUGCACAUCUGGAAAUAUCAAGCGGGAAAUUGGAUAAAACAUCACCUUGCAUGAUAUUCUUCUUCAUGCUCAAACUACACUUCAUUUUCAAAACCCUUAAAAAAGUGUCUUUCAUUCUCAAUCAACCUUUCAACACCAAAAUAUCAUUCUUGUAUUUAAUUACAUUAAAAGAAAUAAAAUAAGUUGGAAUUAUAGGUAACGUUCGUUCAUUUCAUCCCAUAUUCCUUACAUUAAUGUGUUGUUUGAGUUAAAAAAAUGAAUGUUGAAUUCGUAUAUGUGUCUUCAGACGAAGUUUGGUGUGUUCCGGAUAUGCAUCUCCGAAUCGUCCUGAUAGUUUUAGUUUUAAAGUUGUUUUUCUGUUAUUAGUGGUAUUAAAUAUGGUGCACCCAGAUAUGUUUCUCAAAGCUAUUGUGAUUGUGGAUAUUAAAUUGGUCGAAGUGAAUCAUAGUGCUAAACUGGAUGAAGUGAAUGAUGAUGUUAAACCGAGUGUUCGGCCAGUUGUUGUCGAGGUAGAUGUUCGUACAUUAUUUAUAAAUAAACAAGAGUUUAUUGUUCAUAUGCUACAAUAGGUCUGCAUGGAGGGCGGGAAAUUGGGGUUUGGUAUUGUAAUAGCAAGGUCUGACAAUAGUUCGGAUAGAAGACAAAUAUUUGUAAUAAUGAGAUGAGAAAGAAGUGGCACAUACCAACCAUAACACCCCAAAAACCCCACUUACAAAUAUGUAUAAUUAUUGGUAAUUUCAAAUACUCAAACAUAGGGUGUCACACACACUUCAUCAUCACAUGCUCAUUUUUAUUAAAUUCAUCACAACAGAAUCAACAAAAUAAAAUAACUUUAAUAAUCUCAUUAAAUAAUUCAAAUAUCUCAUAAUUAAAAAGUAUCUCAAAACUUCUCAAAUGGAGCAAAUAGGAUUCAAAACAAAAUACUCUCAAACUCGAAACACAGUAGAAACGUUUCCCCCAAAGUGUUACAUUAUCAAAUCAACACGACUAAUAACUCAAAACAAAAAAGAUAACGAAGAGGCCAAAUAUGUCAUCCUCCAAGUCAACAGUUACUAAGGGCAUCUACCUGAGUAUCUGCCCCACCAGGAUAAAGUACAAACACCAAAAAUAGCAGGGGUGAGAAUACGUUCAUAUAUAGAUAGUGUGCAUAAAUAAGAAGGAUGGAUAAGCGACAUGGUAUCACUCUCGUAACUCAUAUCAACUACCAGGACAACCUUGAUAA
rnacentral:lncRNA from 1 species